rnacentral:lncRNA from 1 species
UUUUUUUUAAAAACUCUGAGUCAAGUCAAAAUUAAGUAAAUAAAUUGAAGUGGAGAAAGUAUAAUUUACCAAAUAGGGAAUUAAACAUAUUGCAAGUGACUUCUUUGUCGAGAGAGGAAUGAUCUAAUUAGUGGAAAUAGCGGAGACAAAAAUAUCAUUUAAUUCUUCCCAGUUCCCAUAUGUUCUAAUUUUGAUGAGCAAAGUUAUCUAGUAUUCUCUAUUAUUGAUAAAAGAUGACAUAUAUCUCGUGAAAUUAAUUAAGGUAAAGAAAUAGAUUUUUUUUAAAAAAAGAAUAGAAGAAAAACCUUAUAGGAAAUUUGACUUCUGUUUCAAAGAUAAAAAUGAUAGUACAUCUUUUUUUAUGGUUUUUCUUUUUCAUUUGGUGUUCAGAGUUCGCAUUGAAAUUCAGACUAAAUUUGAAGGAUUCAUUUUGAGAUAACACUGUCAACAAAAUUUUCUUCAUAUACGAAACUUAAACUCAAAAUCAUUGAUAAAUGAUGAAUCUAUCUCGCCACUAAACCACAAUCCAGGGACAAAACUGUUAUCACCAAAGCAAAUUCUGUCUCUAUCAUCUCUUUUCACGAUUAGUAGAUUUUUCUCGUACCCCAUACCAUUCAAACAUAUUUAAAAACUCCAAUUUUCUACUAUUAAUAUUGUAAUUAAUUCAUCUUGUCUUAAAAUAAAAUAAAAUAAAAUUUCCCAAAAUAGAAUCUUUCAAUUUGGGAAUAUCCACUUCAAUCACAACCAACAACAAAAGGAACCAUAAUUUACAAUCUCUUCUCCUUUUUCAAUAAUUCCAGCCCCAAAAAAACUCAAAUUUUUCUGAAGAAAACCCAAAUCGGAGCUCAAAUUUCUUCACCCAAUGGAACCCUAAUCGACUCUGAAGAAUUCCCAGAAAACCCAAUAAUAAAAAAUCUGCAAUUUACUGUUGAAUUCACUGUUUUCAGUGAUGUAUCGACCUCAGAAAUUGUGUAGUUUAACACUGUUAUGGAUAUUGGGAAUUGGGUUAGGGUUAAGUUUUGGGUAUGCAUUGAAAAUGCCGUUUAGGGUCAAGGAUGUACUUCCUGUAUUGCCGCAUCAGGUUUCUUGGCCUGUCCUUAACACUAUGCAUAGCCCUGUUGAUUUGAUGCCUACUUAUAUUGGAUCUCUAGCUCCUAAUAAUGGGUCAAUUAGUUGGAAAGGAGCUUGCUUUUUUGAGAAUGAAGCAAGGGUUGAGUUUACCGGUCCCGGUGAUCGAGGCAUUGGCGGUGCUACUAUUCAUCUAUCGGUUUGUAGAUUUAAAAUUUCUGUAUUGUGAAUUUAAUUUGUGUUUAGUUGAUUUGUAGAGUAGUUUUUCUGGUAAUUUUUGGUGGGAUGAUGUUUAAUUGAUGAAUGGUGAUAGGAAUGGCUUGAAAAGGUGAAUUUUCUGGGUUGAAGUUAUGUUGCUGGGUUCUUUUUUAGGGGAGGUGGGGUGUUGGAAAAGGUUAAUGAUUGCAUGCUUGCGAGCUGAAGUUAGGCUUCUUAUUUCUGAAUUAUGAAUAUGGUUUCUGUUUAGUUUAUCUGUAGAGCAGUAUUCACUGGUAAGAUGUAUAUGGUUGUUGUAUUCUUAGGAAUUUAUCUUGCUGGUUAGGGCAGGGGUUGGGAGAGUGUGGUGUUGGAAGACUAAGAAUUGCAUGUUUGAAACCCAAGUUUUUACAAAAUAGUGGAAUAAAAAGGUCUGGAAAAGAGGAAAGUGUUAAUAUUACUGGUAAAGUUGCAGAAUGCUUCAUAUUAAGAUGAUAUUAUCACUUGAUAUUUUAACAAAAGUUUGACUUCUUGUUGUUAGUAUUAGAAAUAGUAGUGCAUUUCUUGCCAUUAUCUGGUAGUUUGGUGCAGAAGUAGGGGGAGGGAAAACUGGUGUAGCUUUGAAUCAGCUGCUUGCUGAGAAAGUCAGAUUCCUGCCAUUUAUGAAAGAUUCUUGUUGUGGCUGUUUCUUUCUACAUAAAUGAGCCACUUCACAACAAGAAUAAACAUGGAAUGUGACUUACUAUUUGCCAGUAUUCGUUUUGACGCGUAGCUGCUAUAAUGUAAUUCGGUUAUAUGGUUUGUAAAUGCUCUAGCAUUUAAAGGAAACUAGGAUGCAAAUGAUAGAAGAAGCAUGCGGUUUUGUGGUUCCACCUUCACCAUGUAAAAAAAGCUAGAUUGAUUAUAUGAAUGUUUCCUCUGUUGACACCUAGAUGAUCCAUAAAUAGAAACCAAUGGGGUGAUAACAAGUGAAAAUUGAUAUACCACCUUAAGAAAGAAAUACGAUUUUUUUGGUAUCUACAUAUACUUGUUCUUAUUCUAUUAUGCUGUUUUUAAUUGGAUAAAGUCAUCCUUAGCACAGUUGUAUUUCAGAUUUCAUUUACCCACUUUGCAGACAGGCGCAGCACACAGCUGGACGUGUAUGGAUCUGUAUGUAUUUGCUACACCUUAUAGGAUAUCCUGGGACUACUACUUUUCGGGCCAUGAUCACACAUUUAAAAUUGAGUCAUGGGAGGAACCUGCUGAAAGGGAAUAUGUAUGCUCUUGUUUUGGGCCUUUUGUCUAAUUCCAAUGGAUGUCCAUGCAUUUAUAAUUGAUCUUUAAGCUACUGCUAUGCAGGUCAAGGAACAUGGAAUUUCUGUAUUUCUCAUGCCAUCAGGAAUGCUCGGAACCUUGCUUUCCUUGGUGGAUGUACUACCCCUGUUUUCUAACACCGCAUGGGGCCAGAAUUCUAACCUUGCUUUUCUGAAGAAGCACAUGAGUGCGACAUUUGAGAAACGUCCACAUCCACGGCAGGCAACAAUUAACCCAGAUGAUGUUCAUUCUGGUGAUUUCUUAGCUCUGUCAAAGAUACGUGGACGGUGGGGUGGGUUUGAAACUCUUGAGAAGUGGGUCACUGGUGCCUUUGCUGGUCAUACAUCCGUUUGUUUGAAGGAUGAGUUGGGUAAUCUUUGGGUUGGUGAAUCAGGACACGAAAAUGAAAAGGUGAGCAAAUGAGAAAAUCUAUGUAUUUCUCCACUAAACUACACGGAGAAACACUGCUAGCAAAUCUCAAAAACAUCAUUUUCCACGUCACAUAAAUAGAUUCAGUUACAUUAAUCUCCUUAUGCUCCCCUUUACUUUUCUGCAACUUUUCUUAUGGAUAGCAGUGGACUUCUGGUGAGUUACUAUACUCCAUUGUGCUCCCUCUCUACCUCCGGAGGUAGAGAAUACUCUGAGUUUUUUUGUUAGCUUUUAAUGCCUGUAAAGGCCUUGCAUUUUAAUUGCAUGAAUUGUGGCGUUCUCUUAUUUUUGUUUUAUCUUGUGGUAUAUCUUUGCAGGGUGAAGAAAUUAUUGCAGUUAUCCCUUGGGAUGAGUGGUGGGAAUUGACACUCAAGGACGAAUCUAAUCCACAAGUUGCUUUGUUGCCCUUACAUCCUGAAGUGCGUGCGAGAUUUAAUAAUACCGCAGCAUGGGAAUAUACUCGGAAAAUGUCCGGGAAGCCAUAUGGUUACCAUAACAUGAUUUUUAGUUGGAUUGACACAGUAGCGGAUAAUUACCCUCCACCUCUUGAUGCUCACUUGGUAUUGUCUCCCUUCCUUUCCUCUUAAAAGUAUAAACUAUGAUUAUACUGGAAUAUAUCUAAGAUGAGCAAGUAGCAAUGGAUGUUUGUGUUCUCCAAAGCAACUAGGUGAAUUGCCAUAUGUCCAUCAAUCUCGAUGCUAACCGGUAGACAGUUCUCAAGUCACAAAUGACUUAUCUAACAUGCACAUAUUCUAUCCUUGGAUAUCACUUUGCUUAAUUAUCUCUAGGAAAUACCUUUACAUAGUAUAAACCCAACAUAAACCAGUCAUCAAUAUAUUUGCAGUUUUUAAAAUUUAGAAGGAUAUAUGGUUAUUGAUUACUACUUGCCUCCCUGUGGAACCAUUUGAUAAAAGAAACCCAUCAAAAAGGUGAAAAAGCAAGUCAAUCAAAACAAAAAUAGCAAUAAUUUGAAGGAAUACUAAUUUGUUCAUCACUACCCCUUCUUCCAUUUAAAUAGAACUCUUGGACAACUUCCUGUGGUUUCUCAGCAGAUGACUUUUGUUGCCAGGUGAUUUCUGUCAUGUCCAUGUGGACAAGAGUGCAGCCAGCAUAUGCUGCUAACAUGUGGAACGAAGCUCUGAAUAAGAGGCUUGGCACUAAGGUGAACUGAAUAUGUUAUAUUUUGUUGUUAGAAUCUUUUGGCUGGAAACUUGUAUAAUAUCUUAACUAUUAGUUAAUGGUUUUGGGUAUGGCUCAUCCCCCAGAUUUAAUUGAUAAAGACAGGUUAUCAGUUCCCUCUUAAAAAAUGAUUUUUUUUUAAAGUAGAUUUGUUGAGGUCUAUAAACAAGCUAUCUUGAUAGGUUGGGUUCUGUUGAAGGAAAAAAUAUGAAACAUACUCUCCAACCUCCUUUCUGUAUUUCUAUGUCAAAAAAUGGGUGAGCAUUACCGAAUUGUCACAUCAUUUGGUGACUCGAACGUAGAGGUACUCUGUAACUCUUAUGAGUAACAGUAUAGAGCCAUAUUCUAUAGAUGAUCUUCAUUUACAUAGACAUUUAGCCGUGGAGCAAGCAUAAUAAUAACAUUAUAUAUUGAAUAAUGCUUUCAAAAGCUUCCUCAGUUUAACUUGAAUCAUAUUGUAACUGCUUACAUAUAAGAGAGUUCGUUAAAUAUAUCAUAGAUUCUAAAUGUUACCGAAGCAAUCAAUUUCCUUUUAUCUGUAUAGGUCACUUUAUAUGUGCAAUUAAUACCUCUCUUACAGGAUUUGGACUUGUAUGGUAUUCUUGCUGAAACUGAAAGACGUGGUAUAACAUUUGAUCAAUUAUUGACCAUCCCGGAACAAGAUGAAUGGAUCUAUAGUGAUGGCCAAUCCACUACAUGCGUGGCCUUCAUUCUAGCAAUGUAUAAAGAAGCUGGAGUUUUUGGCCCUAUUUCCAACUCUAUUCAAGUAACGGAGUUCACUGUGGGUAUCAAUGCCUUUGUUUAAUCGUCUUAUAAGGAAAAUAACUUCCAUUCUGUUGUGAUCACAAGACUUUCUUACUACUUGCAGAUUAGAGAUGCUUACAUGCUCAAAAUUUUUGAAGAUAAUCAGACACGCCUCCCAAGUUGGUGCAACAGUGGAGACAAUAAGUUCUCUUUCUGCCAGAUUCUUGGCGAAUAUCAAAUGGAACUGCCCCAGUACAACACAUUGGAUCCCUAUGCCAACAUGAAUGAGAAUUGUCCUUCUUUACCUCCACACUAUGAGAGGCCCGGACGUUGCUGAAUCCGGACUAAACUUGUGUGUCAGUGUAUCCCACGCAAGCUACCUUUGUUGCUAUUUGUUUAACACGUAUCAGGUUAUCUAGUAUAUGAACAUACUCUGCUUGUUCUUCAGUUUCUACAUGAAAUAUCUAUAUAUGUACAUAGUUCAUGCAUAUUUAGUUUCUUAGAUGUUCAAGCCUAUUAUAGUUAUUGGUAGAUGGGAAACAACAAUAGAAUAACUUAUGGACUCAAUGCCUCAAGAUCUUGUUGUUAUAUCUGUUCUUUGUAAUUAGUUGUAAGUGAGUUGCUGAAUCUUCUCAAAAUGUGAACUAAAUGUUAGAGCAAUGUCUGUAAGGAUACGCUGAAUUCUGUUAUUUUGUUCAUCAUUUCCCGUGUCUUUGUGUACUAAAUUAUAUGCGACCUGUAUCUUAACCUUGGAAACAAUGCAAGGUAAGGCUGUGUCCAAUAGGCCCUUGUGGUCGGGAGCUUUAAUGCACCAGGUUGCCCUUUUUCUUUACUGACAUGUUAAACUUUUAACAAGACUAUAAGACUCCUAACAUACAGCAACUAGUAGAUAUGUUAGGAUCUUUGUAAUUAGCCUUCCUAGCCCCUCUAUGUACGAAUUUUUGGAAGUCACCAGCAUAGCCUUAAUGCUGAGGAAUACAACAUUACUAAUUUCAAAAAAAAAAAGACUCCUAACAUACAGCAAGGAACUGGAUGAAUCUUUGCCCAUUUUUAUUUCUAUCUUGAUAUAUACAACUAGCACAAUCAGGAGGAAGACAUAACAACAAGAAGAAUUACUCGAACGAUAUGGUUCAUUCUGGAAAUUACAGUAAUCAGAGUUCUUCAUCCCAGAGUUCUUCAGUUGUCUUGUAAGGUCCAUAAGGAGAUGUGUAAUCCUUACCAAGACAAACUCUACUUUGUGGGAUUUCACUGAUCUUUCUGCACUCAUCAUCGUUUAAUGACCAGUCGAAAAUCUCGAGGUUCUGUUUCAUUCUCUCUUUGUUAUAGCUCUUCACCACCACGCCAAUGCCUUGCUCAUAUCCCCAUCUUAAAGCAACCUGGAUUUUCCAGGUACGGAUUUUAAGUUAUAUGCACCGACAGUGUCAAUGUAGUUAAAGUUAGAAGUCAUCUUAGAAUACCUGCGCGACGGUUUUGCCUCUGGCCUUUGCUAUUUCUCUGAGCACUUCAGAUUCCAUAACUCUGUUGGUUCCAUAAAAGGUACCUAUUGAUCCUAAAGAACUAUAUCCAACAACAAGAACUCCAUUUCUCUUGCAGAACUCUCUUAGCUUCUGUUGCUGCCAACAUGGAUUUACUUCUACCUUGCAAAUCAAGAACAGCUUCAGUCAGAAUCCUAUCUUUUCACUACAAAACAUUCUACUCAACCUUAUUUUAUCAAACACAAUUACUCCCUCCGUCUCAAUUUAAGUACUCAACCUUAUUUUAUCAAACACAAUUACUCACUCUGUCUCAAUUUAAGUGUCGUACUUUUCUUGUUGGUCUUUCCCAGAAAGAGUGCCUUUUUCCAUAUUUAGUAAGUUUUCCAAUUCCAACAUCUACAUGGCAAGUUUAAGACCACAAGAUUUAAAGGACUAUACAUCUUUAGUUUAAGUCCACACGACUCUAGUCACCCUUUAUUCUUAAACUCCCUGCACAGUCAAACUAAGACACUUAAAUUGGGACAAAUGGAGUACUACUUUUCAAGUAAGUCCAGUGCUUGAUUAUGAUUUUUCCCCUAUGUUGCUAUGACUCUUCAAAAAUGUCAUUGUGUGCAUGACGGAUCCUCCAAAAAUAGUGUUUUUGGAGGAUCUGACAAGGGUGCAACAACGUUAUUGGAAAGUCCGAGCGACAUAUUUUCUCUUUCACAUACUUGAUUGACAGCAGGGGGAAUCUUGGCAGUGGCAAGAACAUCAGCAAGGUUCUUGCAAGAAAAGUUGCUAACUCCAAUGAACUUGGUGAGUCCAAGUUUAUGACACUCUUCCAUUGCUACCCAAACUGACUUGAAAUCCAUUGGAAUAAAGUCCUCUUUUUUAAUUGGGUAUUCAUGAAUUCCUGGCUUAGAACUCAGUGGCCAGUGUAUUAGAUAUAAAUCAAUAUAAUCCAUCUUAAGAUUCCUGCACAAGUCCAAACAACAACAAUUAUGUUUCAACUCAAACAAGUUGGGGUCGGUUAUAUAAAUUUCACUAGUAUGUCGCUCCAUUUGAACUCAUCGCAAUAAUGCACUACAUAAAAUAAAAUAUAAAGAGAAAUAUUGAGAACUCCCCUAAAUUCGGCGUGAAUUUUAGUUUUGUACCUGAAUUAUAAACGGCCUAAAAAACACUUCUUUACUUGACUAAUUGAACUUAAAUACAUUUCCAAACUUGCAACAUGAGUGAAACACCCCCCAAAUUCUCUCCAAGUUUAAGGGUACUUUUAACACUUUGUUAUGCCAUGUUGCAUAUCGGGUGUAUCUAAUUUUAGUUAGUCAAUUAGAAGGUAUUGUUAAGGAUGUCCAUAGUUUUGGGACAAAAUUAAUAAUUUGCGCCACAUUCAAUAAAUAAUUUGCACCAAGUUCAGGUGUUUUCAAAUACUUUUCUCUAAAAUAAAAGCAAUAACAAUUGAAUUGGGAGUUCUUCGAAGAGGAUUUUACCGUAGGGUUUUGUUGAGAGCAGGAAGAACAUGUUGAGGAUGAGCAUCACUACACCAUAGCUUUGAAGUAAUAAACAAUUGUUCACGAGAUUCAACGAAUCCGUCAUUAAUUGCUUCGUUUAUGGCUUCACCCAGUGCUUCUUCAGAAUUGUACAGAGCAGCUGUGUCAAAAUGCCUGUAACCAACCUCGAUCGCUUCAACAACUGCACUUCUAACGAUUUCUGGUUCCACCGGAGGAUCUGCCGCCGUGCCGAAACCCAACGCCGGAAUCCUCCGGCAGCCGGCCGCCAUCGGAAUCGCCGGCAUAGGGGUUUGUUGUUGCUCUGGGUUCAUGUAAUUUCUGCCGUGCCACGUUAAUCACUUUUUGUUUUGGGAAGUUAAUUUAGCUUAACUUUAAAGCCAACUUGAAUUAGUUUAAUUUAAUAUUUUAUUGAUCAAAUGUUACAUAAUUUUAUUUUUUUAAAAUGUCAUACAAAUUGAGAUAAAAAAAUAGCAAACUACAUGAAUCACAGAUCCUAAUUACUAGAAUUUACAUUAGUUUUUUAUAUUAUCUAUAUACCAUUUUUCGGCCUUCGAAUACAUGAUACAUGUAUUCGUCAGAUUUAAAGUCGAGAUACACUAUCUAAUUACUUUUAAAUUAAAGGCCGUAACUUAUUUCCUUAAUUAAUGGAGUAAAUGAUGGGAAAUUAACAACCAUAAUGGAUUUAGAGGAUUCUUUCGUAUCAAACUCUUACCAGUUUUACUAAAAUAUUGAAAUCAUAAACCUUAGUAUUUCUGAAAUUGUAAAUUUCAUCUUCUUAAUCAAUUCAUUUUUGUGUAUCUUUAAGUAUUGAGAUUUUUUUCUAAAUGACCAAUAUCACAGUAUUGUAGAGACAUUCGAGUUCAUGAAUCUCUGAAAUCGAAUACAAAAAUUAUAGAAUUGAUAGGAAUAUAAUUUAGUAGACCACGACUUGGCAGACACUGGUUUUUGGAGCGCUGCUUUGUUAAGCCAACUACUCCCACCCUAUGUCAAUUCCUCCUCGAAAGAAAUGGCCAACCAAAUCAAAACACACUAAAUUUGUCCAUGACUUUAGCAUUGACAAAUUUUAUAACUAGGAAUCGAUUGUACACGUAAAAGCAUGAAAUCAGAUAUAUAAUGGAAGACAAUUUGAUUGCAAUAACGGAAAUUCGAAACAAGAUGAGAAUGAGAUAUUUAAUAAAAUUAAAAAGACGUAAAUUCGAUUGCGCAUUAUGCAUAACAACUAAAUAUCAAAAUUUUGAAUAUAGCAAUAAUGGUGAAAUAUCUUUUGAGCGAGAUAUAUCAAUUGUUCGAUUGGGAGUUGAAGGUUGAACUGAAACUACAUAUAAUGUAAAUACAUGUAAUGCUACCUCAAAUACAUAUAUAGAAUUUUGUUCAUUUCUUUUCCAGAAACAUAAAAAGUGUAUACAUAUUCUUCUUUCUAUUAAUUCAAUUUUCUUUCUUUGAAUCUUGAUUUCUAUACUUACAAUAAGCAAUCUUCAUUUCGAAUUGUAGCAACGAUGGUGAAGUAAUUUUUGAGCCAGAUUCAUCAUCAUUUCGAUUUGAAAUUAUGCUAGUGCUGCAAAAAUAACUUGAGAUACAAAGACAAUGAAAACUUAAAUACAUUUAACAUAAGAAAAUCAGAUAUAUAAUGAUAUUAUAUCAAACACAUUAAUAAACAUACUAGAUAUAACCAGAGAGUCAUAUGCGGACUGGAAAUCUAAAUAAGCCACAAAAAUAUAAAAGUGACCAAAAUAAGCCACUACUUUAGGAAGUAACUAAAAUAGGCUUAGUGGAAGAAAAAAUUCCACUUUAUAUAAUAUUCUAAACGUUUUCCGUUAGUCUUAUAACGUGUAUAUUUUAAUAUAUAACGGAAUUAUUUUCUACACUUUAUAAAAUGGAACUAUUUCUUACACUUUAUAAAGUGGAACUUUUUCUUACACUUUAUAAAGUGGAAGAAAAUCUUACACUUUACAAAGUGGAAGAGAAAAUUCCACUUUACAAAGAGGAAUAUUUUCACGUUUUUAUCUCAUUUGCAGUGUUUGUCAUACAAUUAUAUUGAUUUGACAUAUCAUAAAAACGGAAAAAAUUAUUACACUAUGUAUUUUUAUUUUUUUAUUCUGAAAAAUCCUCCAAUCUCUAUUUAAGGAGGACGUUCAAACAUUAACUGGUAGCACCUACAACAUACUUUCUAUAUUUGUUCAUUUCAAUCUCAAAAAAAAAAAUGUCUUCUAAACCAAAAGUUAGAGUUUUGAUUUAUUGGGAUGGCGAAAUUAUACAUGAUGGAAAUACCGUUUAUUAUAAUUNNNNNNNNNNNNNNNNNNNNNNNNNNNNNNNNNNNNNNNNNNNNNNNNNNNNNNNNNNNNNNNNNNNNNNNNNNNNNNNNNNNNNNNNNNNNNNNNNNNNNNNNNNNNNNNNNNNNNNNNNNNNNNNNNNNNNNNNNNNNNNNNNNNNNNNNNNNNNNNNNNNNNNNNNNNNNNNNNNNNNNNNNNNNNNNNNNNNNNNNNNNNNNNNNNNNNNNNNNNNNNNNNNNNNNNNNNNNNNNNNNNNNNNNNNNNNNNNNNNNNNNNNNNNNNNNNNNNNNNNNNNNNNNNNNNNNNNNNNNNNNNNNNNNNNNNNNNNNNNNNNNNNNNNNNNNNNNNNNNNNNNNNNNNNNNNNNNNNNNNNNNNNNNNNNNNNNNNNNNNNNNNNNNNNNNNNNNNNNNNNNNNNNNNNNNNNNNNNNNNNNNNNNNNNNNNNNNNNNNNNNNNNNNNNNNNNNNNNNNNNNNNNNNNNNNNNNNNNNNNNNNNNNNNNNNNNNNNNNNNNNNNNNNNNNNNNNNNNNNNNNNNNNNNNNNNNNNNNNNNNNNNNNNNNNNNNNNNNNNNNNNNNNNNNNNNNNNNNNNNNNNNNNNNNNNNNNNNNNNNNNNNNNNNNNNNNNNNNNNNNNNNNNNNNNNNNNNNNNNNNNNNNNNNNNNNNNNNNNNNNNNNNNNNNNNNNNNNNNNNNNNNNNNNNNNNNNNNNNNNNNNNNNNNNNNNNNNNNNNNNNNNNNNNNNNNNNNNNNNNNNNNNNNNNNNNNNNNNNNNNNNNNNNNNNNNNNNNNNNNNNNNNNNNNNNNNNNNNNNNNNNNNNNNNNNNNNNNNNNNNNNNNNNNNNNNNNNNNNNNNNNNNNNNNNNNNNNNNNNNNNNNNNNNNNNNNNNNNNNNNNNNNNNNNNNNNNNNNNNNNNNNNNNNNNNNNNNNNNNNNNNNNNNNNNNNNNNNNNNNNNNNNNNNNNNNNNNNNNNNNNNNNNNNNNNNNNNNNNNNNNNNNNNNNNNNNNNNNNNNNNNNNNNNNNNNNNNNNNNNNNNNNNNNNNNNNNNNNNNNNNNNNNNNNNNNNNNNNNNNNNNNNNNNNNNNNNNNNNNNNNNNNNNNNNNNNNNNNNNNNNNNNNNNNNNNNNNNNNNNNNNNNNNNNNNNNNNNNNNNNNNNNNNNNNNNNNNNNNNNNNNNNNNNNNNNNNNNNNNNNNNNNNNNNNNNNNNNNNNNNNNNNNNNNNNNNNNNNNNNNNNNNNNNNNNNNNNNNNNNNNNNNNNNNNNNNNNNNNNNNNNNNNNNNNNNNNNNNNNNNNNNNNNNNNNNNNNNNNNNNNNNNNNNNNNNNNNNNNNNNNNNNNNNNNNNNNNNNNNNNNNNNNNNNNNNNNNNNNNNNNNNNNNNNNNNNNNNNNNNNNNNNNNNNNNNNNNNNNNNNNNNNNNNNNNNNNNNNNNNNNNNNNNNNNNNNNNNNNNNNNNNNNNNNNNNNNNNNNNNNNNNNNNNNNNNNNNNNNNNNNNNNNNNNNNNNNNNNNNNNNNNNNNNNNNNNNNNNNNNNNNNNNNNNNNNNNNNNNNNNNNNNNNNNNNNNNNNNNNNNNNNNNNNNNNNNNNNNNNNNNNNNNNNNNNNNNNNNNNNNNNNNNNNNNNNNNNNNNNNNNNNNNNNNNNNNNNNNNNNNNNNNNNNNNNNNNNNNNNNNNNNNNNNNNNNNNNNNNNNNNNNNNNNNNNNNNNNNNNNNNNNNNNNNNNNNNNNNNNNNNNNNNNNNNNNNNNNNNNNNNNNNNNNNNNNNNNNNNNNNNNNNNNNNNNNNNNNNNNACUUUAUAAAGUGUAAGAAAAAGUUCUACUUUAUAAAGUGUAAGAAAAAGUUCUACUUUAUAAAGUGUAAGAAAAAGUUCUACUUUAUAAAGUGUAAGAAAAAGUUCUACUUUAUAAAGUGUAAGAAAAAGUUCUACUUUAUAAAGUGUAAGAAAAAGUUCUACUUUAUAAAGUGUAAGAAAAAGUUCUACUUUAUAAAGUGUAAGAAAAAGUUCUACUUUAUAAAGUGUAAGAAAAAGUUCUACUUUAUAAAGUGUAAGAAAAAGUUCUACUUUAUAAAGUGUAAGAAAAAGUUCUACUUUAUAAAGUGUAAGAAAAAGUUCUACUUUAUAAAGUGUAAGAAAAAGUUCUACUUUAUAAAGUGUAAGAAAAAGUUCUACUUUAUAAAGUGUAAGAAAAAGUUCUACUUUAUAAAGUGUAAGAAAAAGUUCUACUUUAUAAAGUGUAAGAAAAAGUUCUACUUUAUAAAGUGUAAGAAAAAGUUCCACUUUAUAAAGUGUAGAAAAUAAUUCCGUUAUAUAUUAAAAUAUACACGUUAUGAGACUAACGGAAAACGUUUAGAAUAUUAGAUAAAGUGGAAUUUUUUCUUCCACUAAGCCUAUUUUAGUUACUUCCUAAAGUAGUGGCUUAUUUUGGUCACUUUUAUGUUUUUGUGGCUUAUUUAGGUUCCCAGUCCGUCAUAUGCACAUACAUUAAUAGCAUAUCAGAUACAAGACAUUAAUGACUUAGGUACAUUAACAGAAAGUAGAUACAAGACAUUGGAAGUUUAGAUACAAUAACAUAAAGAUAGGAUACAUAAAAAUAUUACAUGAGAUACAGAAAAAAAAUAAUGGAUACAUAGGACAAUUAAAAUCUAGGCGGACUAAAAUCAAAUACAAUUCAUAAAGUUUAGAUACAUUAAAAUUACAAUUAGAUACAUAUGAAAAUUAAACUAGAUACAUAAUAAAAGUAAUUUUACCAAAUUCUAGAGAGAUGACAGAGGGAAACUUGAUGAGAAAGAAAAAAAAUAUUAAUUGUAAUUGGACCAUUAAUUUUGGUGUUUAAAUGUAAAGAUAAUUAAUCAAUCCUAGUUUUAAGGGAUUUGUGUAUUUAAUUAUAUUUAAAAAAAAUAUAUGGUAUAAAAUAUUAAAAGUGAUAAUAAAUAUAAUUGUUUGAAAUUAGAGGUAAUAUUAGUCUAUAUGGUAGAGAUGUAUGUCUAGUUAGGUAGUUUUUCCAUAAAAAAUAGUACUACUCCUUCCGGCUCAAUUUAUAUGACACAUUUCAAAUUUUAAGAUCAAACAAGUCUAUUUUUUACCAUAAAUUUUUUAUAUAUCUUUUAAAUAUUUUGAGUUGUCAAUUAUUGCGACUUAUAAUAAUUUUUACGUAGUUUACAAAUAUAUAAUUUUCAUGUAAAUUUUUAUGAAGAUUUCAUGCGCAAAUUAUCGGUCAAACUUAAACUAUUUGACUCUAGAAAAAAUGAAAAUUGUCACAUAAAUUUGAACAGAAAGAGCUACCUUUGUAAAAAGAAGCCAAAUGACAAUUGUUGAAUAUUCUUUUUGAGAUGGUUCUGACGUGUGCAAAUGAGAUGCACAAAUAUUCUAGUGAGAGGUGUGAGAAGUUUACUAUGAUGAGUAAAAGAGAUAAAUUAUGUAGCCGGUAAAAGUAUUGAGGAGACACAAUUAGACACAAAUAUGACACAUUAUGAUCCUAAAUAAAAAGAUAUGAACUAUUACUCUUUUAUUUCUAUGUGUUUCUUCUUAUUAAUCUAAUCGUUGCCGAAGUCACAUACAAAGGACUUUUGACUUUAUGAUCUGCGUAAUAUAUCAAAAUAUUCUUAAAUUUAAUGCACUUAACUAUAUCAUGUUAAAUAUUGAAAUUAAAAAAUUACCAGGAAAGAGCAUUCUUUUUAAAGCAAAUUAAAGUUUUUUACAUAAAUUUGAACAUAAGAAAUAACUAGCAAUAUUACACCAUAUGUCAAUCAAUCAUACUUCUCAAUUCCAACAAAUUUCUCUUUUCCAUGCAUGCUCGAAAUCAGGGCUUUUGGCCUAAUUAAUCAAUGCCAAAGCUAAUCUCUUCAAAAUCCCUUAAUUAAUCUCUCCAUGCAUGCACGAUCAAUAUAUAACAAUGAUCGUAAUGCAAACGCCACGAUCAUCUUCUUAGUACAAGUGACAGUCAGAAUUGAACUCAUCCAAAUUCAUCAAUCGAUCAUGCCUUGUGAAAAUCGAGACUUUAAUUCUCGAAUUGUGAAGCAUCCACAACACGUACAGCUCUAUGUCUUUGAUCAAUCGUCUGUCGUAUGUAUACUAUAAUUCCUUUAAUAAAAUGAUGCAUGGUACAUACAAAAGCAACAAUGAAUGCAACAACAAUAGAAAUGAACAUGAUCCAAUAGGUGACAAAAAUAGACAUUUUCCACCACUUGGAAUCCAUAUUAAUAAUAAUAAUAAUAAAAUCAAUUGAAGGAGUUAAGUUAAAUAUAUAUAGAAGAAAGAUGAAAUUCAUUAAGUUAAAAAUGAUGGCUGAGGGUUUAAUUUAAAUUCUUGUAUUGUUAUAUUUUGUUCAAAGCCCUUUUGAAUAGCUCUUUUCAUUUUUAAUUUUUUUUAUAUGUUGUAAUUGUCAAGAUAACGAAAAAAUAGACAUAUAAAACGCAAUCUAGUUAAAUUCACAAGACAAUCAUUGACUAAUUAUGUUUUAAGAUAAGUAUAUUUUUAAAAAAUGUGUAUUUUAGCACAUUUAUUUUAUGUACAUUAGAGUCGUCAAUUUUUUUUUUAUUGUUGCACCAAAUUAACUAAACUAAUUUUCGUAACGAUAAAAUUACUCCACUUUGCUUAAAUAUCACAAAGCGCGAUUUUUAUUUUUAAAACUCUUCAAUUUGACUGAUAUAAAUUAAAUCCAAAUAAAAAAAAUGUCACUUUUUUCCUUGCAAACACGAAGGGAAAAAAAUGAGCAGAGGCGUAUCCAGGAGGGGGUCACAGUGUUCACGUGAACCCAUGCUUCUCUCCUAAAAUUAUAUAUAGUAGUGUCAUAUUUUUUAAUUUUUUUUUUAAACAUAGAUGUGUGAACCCACACUUGAAGUAUCAUAUAAUGUUGUGCGAUGAUGAUUUGGUGCACCUCUCUAAGUGUGGUUAUAAAUUUGAAUCUUUUAUUUAUCUUGUUUUAUAUUCCUUUCUUAAAUUGGGUAACGUCUCUCUAAGUGGUUUGGAUAGAUAAAAAUAAUUCUGGACCUGCAAUUUUAAAAUUUCAAUAGUUUUCAGUGAUAAAAACCUAAAUGUUAAACAUGUCAAAUUUAUAUCUUAGAUCCACAUUUUCAUAAUAGUACAUCCAUCAUUUCAUAAUUCUGAAUACGCCUCUGAGAAGAUCUAUAAAUGCCUCAUUUGAUUGAUCUGUUUAGACAAAAUUGUGCUAUUUGCGUUGUACACAUUCUUAAUCCUAAAUGAAAUAUAAAGAUGCAUGAACUCAUAUAUAAAUAUAUAGAAAGUCCGAAUCAUCGCUUUUUAUAAUGAUAAUGUAUAUAACCUUAUUUUCAAUCCGAUCAUAAUAUAUGACCUGAAUUUAUAAUCAUGAAAUCGACUCGAAAAAGGAAAACAAUAAUUGUCAAAUAAUAUAUAUCAAGUAUAUAUGUCCUUUAUUAAAAUGACUACGUACAUUACAUAUAAAACUCUCAAAUCAAAAACACAAUAAAAUUUUCAAAACAAAUAUUGGAAUCCAGAAAAUAAGAUAUAAAGAAGAAGAAAAAUGAAUCAAAAAACAUACACAUUGAGAUCCAACAAAUUUUAAAAAUAAUAAUAAUUAUAUGAUCAUAAUCUUCAUAAUUUCCAUAAUAUAAUAAAUUAAUUAUUUGUUAGAUAGCUUAUUCUUGUUACACUUAACCUUAAUCCAAUUAGCACUAACACUUGCUCCAUGUUUAACUUUCUUCAUUCCUGCAGAUGCUGCUAUUUUUGUUUUCUCCAUUCCAACUUCAAAUUUCUCACUAACUCUCCUUGAAAGUUUCGGUUUACCGCCGAGUCUUUUAGGAUCAGCAGGCUCAUAAUUAUUUUUUGUGUUUGAUUCCAAUGGACUUUCAAGACUCAUUGUGUUAUAUGUAAUGUUCUUCAACCACCUCAAGAAGAAAAAAAAAUUAUGACUAUUUUUUUGUUCACAAUUUUUUUUUCUUCAAGAGGGGUAGAAGGAAAGAAGGAAGGGAAGAAGAUUAUUAUUGUUGUUUGAGAAUUAAUUUUUGCCUUUGAUUAAUUUGUUGGUGAGGAAGUUGAGGUAUCUUUUUAUAUGGAGAAAUGAAUGGUUUAUGUUAUGGUUGUUGUGUUGAUGGUGUGUAUGUUUCUUGUUAUUGAAGAAAGGAAAGAAAAUAGCAAAGGUGUUAGUUAAUUGAUGUUUCAUCAUGAACCUAAUUUAUUUCACCUUUUUUUUUUUUUUUAUAUAGUAUAUGGUCUUGGUUAAGUGAAUAAGAGGUGGUAAAAUAAGUUUAUGAAAUUAUAAUUCGUCUAAUCUGUUUAUGUUUGAGUUAAUUUUUUAUCUGUCCAUUUAUUAAUUCAAUUUAUUUUAGCUUAAUCGAUUUCAAUUCAUUAAAAUUUGAGUUAAUAUUCAAUCCAAAUUGAUCUAUGAAGAAGAAAAGGAAAAGUUGAUAGUUAAUUGAUGUUUCUUCUUGAACCUAAUUUAUUUUACCUUUUUAAAUAUUAUUAUAUGGUCUUGGUUAAGUGAAUAAGAGAAAAGAAAAAGAAUGAAGAGGGAUAAGGGAUUUGGUGGAAUGUUUUUGGUCUAGCUAGUUAUGGUAAAUUUAAAUUAGAGGCGGUAAAAUUAGUCUAUGAAAUUAUAAUCUCCUAUUUAAUUUGUUUAUGUUUAGAUUGGUUAUUAAUUUACUCAUUUAUGAAUUUAGAUAAUUUUAGCUCAAUUAUCUAUUUCAAUUCAUCAAAGUUUGGGCUGAUAUUUAACCCAAACUGAUCUAUAAGAAAUUUUAUUAAAUUAUUUUUUAAAAAUAUUUUAUUUGAUGAGUCAUAUGUAGUCGUAAUAAGGAAAAACAAUAUCUUCACAAGAUUCUAAAAAAAUUAAAAGAAAAAAUAACUCUAUUAGUUGGGCGGGGGUGGAGUGAGUAGAUUAUGAACCACAUUCUAAUUUAUUUCAGCGCAAGUAAUUUGGACGAAUUAUUAUAACUCAACUCAUUAUUAAUCCAUCCAAAUAAAGUCUAACAUGCUCAUCUACCACCUGUAUUUAAAAGAGAAUUUUACAUAAAUUUUAUAGUGUUAAUUGUUAAGAGUUAAUUAUAUUCUAUAUAUUCCUAUUCUUUUUUAAAUUAUAAAAAUCUCUUAAAUUUGAUAAAAUUUGAAUAUAUCUCAAAACGUCCCAAUAUUUCACGCUCUGGUUUCGGAUACAUCCCUCAACGUCCUGAUACAUCGCGCCUCAGUUUCGGAUGCAUCACUCAACGUUCCGAUACGUUGCGUAUGUCCCAAUAUAUCGCGUAAAGUGAUGUACCCGAUCGAUACAUCGCUUGAAGUGAUGUAUCCGAAAAUUGAAAAGAGUAGAUAUUUUUGUAAUUUUUUCAAAUGAUAGAAAAUUUUAAAAAAUAUGAUAAUAUGAUAAAAUAAGAUAAUGCUUUUCAAAUGGAACUAGGAGCUUGUUUGAAUUCAAAGGUCAAGUCAAAGGGUCUUACAACUCUCUUCUCAUUAGCACCUAAUUAAAAAGUCACCUUGAACAGAAAUAGAGGUGGCUAUAGGUGGGCUAAAUUUGAAUAGAUUGGAUUAAAAGAAAAUUAUUCGAUGUAUAGAAAAAAUAAAAGGUCUAUAUAUACAAUUUAAAGCUAUAGUUUGCCAAUUUUAUCUGAUGUAUGUAUUUUUGAAUUGUGUAUGCAAUCCAACUGUUUGGAAAGAUAAUUGUACACGAAGGAUAUGCAAGUGUAUGAAGGAAUUAACACUUAAAAUUAUAUGUUGUUUGUAUGUUAUUUGCGCAUGUUAUGUAUUUAUCACCGUCUUUACUAAAAGAUGCUCACUACUAAGAUUUUUAAAUACAUAAAUAUGUGUACUAUUAGAAAAAUACAUAAAUUCGCUAUUUUUCAUAUAUAUUUUUAAAGUACAACUACAAAAAAUAACAAUAAAGUCAAAACAGCAAUAUUACAUGAUUUUCUCAAAAAUAAAUUGGGGUAUUGAUAUUCUUAAUUUCGUCUUCAAUAUUAUUUGCCAUAUACUAGUUAAGGAGAACGCCAAGGAGAGGAAGAAUAAAAGACUCAUUGGAUUUUUAUGACAAUUCAUAAUCUUUGACUUAGGAAAGUUCCAUUUGAAGAAACCUAUACACAAAAAAACAUAUAACGUCAAGAUUCAAGUAUAUAUUUUUUCAUUAAAGAAUAUGUUGCAGUGGAUCGAAUGAGGCUAUUUCUUUUGAUCUUAAUUUAAGGUCUCAAAUAUGAGCUUUGACUAUAUAUUUUUUUCCGAAUAGGGAGUGCUUCUACAUGAAAGGGGCUCAACGUGAUGUUGAUCCGAACUAGUCAGACAGUAAGAAGUUAAAAGAAAAAAAAAUUAUCCUCUUUAUUUUCGUAUGAUUACUAUAAAGAAAAAUCUAAAAGUAGACAUCUCUUUGUAAAUAUGCUUAUUUUUAGUUUUGCUUAGAAACUUCUAGAGACUAGAAUGAUCUAGAUCAUUAACGAACAUAAUGGAAGUGAAACAUCAUUGCUGACAAAAUGAAGUUUGCCGCAUGUUCCCUUCUUAUCCAAACGUUGAAUUGCUAUUUUCUUAUUCUACCUUUUUUGAGAAAAAGAAAAAAAUAUCCCUCUUUGAAAAUAAGAGUUUUCGUUGUAAUCCCACUUGAUUAAUAUUUUAUUAUCAUAUUGUCUGAACACAAAAAUAGACAACAUUAAAAAUAUCAAAAAACCAAGAAACAUGCAGAACCCAAAUUUGACCACAUAUAAAAUAGUACCACGAGCUAAUUAAAGAAUCUUCUGAAAAAUACAUCAUCCACUCAAAAUCAACGUGUAAACUUACUUAAAUUUCAUUUAUAUCAUUUUAAUAAUAACUAAUAACGGCGCAGACUUCCGGUGUUACGACCGGGUGCUCUCUUGUGAAGAGCCAAAAGCUCUUGAUGUAGGGAGGUUCGGUCCAGUCUGUUCACCUCAAUUUGCGUCCUAUUUGAGACUAAAGCAGGCGGAGUAAAUACAUUUUAAUUUGCAAUAUUACGUAUCUUAUCAGAUACGUUCGAAUACAAAAGGUCAAAAUAAGGUAUAAUUUCCUCUAGAUACAUUGUAUCCAAGUAGAUUCAAAUGUAUCUGAAAUAUAUAACAAAUCUCGCUAGCCUCCCUCACCUCUAUCCCAUCUUGCUCGCCACUCUUCCAUAUAUAUAAUAUCUAAGAUAUAUACAUGCGAAUCACACUAGAUACAUACAUAUAUGUAUUUAUUGUGAUUUGAAGUAUCUGGGAUACAUACGAAUCUUGCUCGCCUCCCUCUCCAUCUCACUCGCUUCUCUCUCUAUUUUUGUGUAUCUGGUAGCAAAAACACAUGUAUCCAAGUGCAUUUUUCUCAAUAUUGGUAGAAAACUCUUAAUUAGUGAUAAGACACAUCAUAUUUUCAAAGUAUAGAUAAUGAUAAUAUAUAUGAUAGUUACAUUAAGUAUAUCUAAUUAUGUACCUAUAAUAUAUUGUAGAUACUGAAUUCCUUUAAAUGUCUUCAUAUUUUGAAACCCUUAAUACAAAUUCUCGAUCCAUCACGCCACUAGAUCUCUUGCUUCAAAGAAGUUUCUCUAAUUAAAUGAAUUCUUGGUUUAUAAUAUUCCUAUCGUAGUCCAAUUAGUAAUACGGACGCCACGUUUUGUCAUAAAAUUAUAAAUAGGGCCAACAUAAACAUCCUUUUUUUCUCAUCAAAUCCCAAAUUACAACAAAACAUUCAACCAAAAAGAAAAAGAAAAAUCUUAACUUUUCCUUAAAUUUGGUGAAAUUAAGAGUUUAUUUUUAUGGCAGGAAACAAUAGCUACACAGCAUACAAUUCAUAUGAAACAUCAUGGGCAGAUCAAUGGGAUUCAAAUCCAACUUAUGAGUACAAAAAUUAUGACCAAAAAAGUGGAAAUAAUGGAAGUUCCAAUAAAUUUUCCAAUACUUUUGGAAAAACAAAAUCAGUAGCUUCAAGUGGAGUCAAAAAAGUUAAAUCAGGUGCUUCUGCUAGUUUUAAUUGGAUUAAAGACAAAUGUCACAAGUCUAACACACAAAAACUUGGGUAACAUAUUUUUCAUUAAUUAGAAUAUUUGUUGUGUUUGAUUGUUUCAUUCAUGAUCUGUAUUUUUUUUUAUUUUUUGGUUUGUUAUUCUUUUGUAAUAUAACACAUAGUAUAGUGUCAACAUGAACAUCUCUAGGGGAAGAACCAUGCAUUUGUAGUCCACUUAAAAUAUUAUAUGUGUGUACUUUUAAUAAUUAAUUCAUUAUAUUUUAAAGUGAUAAAUUUGUGUCUAUUAUUAUUAUUUAUUAAUUUUAGUCAAUUUUUUUUUUAAAAUUACGAUUGUGAAUCCGCGUUUAUAAUGAUAUAUCUGUCCAUCCUUGUCACUGCGCACUGUUGAUACAAUCAGAUUACUAAAAUAAAUGAAUAUAUAAUAUAUAUUACUAGCAAUCACCACCUUCGAAUUCCUUUUAUUUUUUCUUGUAAGUAUUAUUUUCGAAGCAAUAAAAAAAUUUGGUUAAAUACAUUGAUUAAAAUAUAUUCAUGAUCAAUAACCUGCAAUGAUAUUAACUCAAUUAGUCGUAAAAAUUUGUGAUAAUAAAUAUUAUUGUUAAAAAAGGAAUAUAUAUAUAUUUGCACUAAAAGUCUCUUUUAAUGUAUUGAAUUAUCACAUAUUAAACUACUAUAAUAUUUAUUUAAAAUAUCUAUACUAUCAUUUAUUUUAACUUAAUAAUUUUAUGGCCAAUAGAGUUAGCUAACCUAGCUAUAGGAAUAUAGGCCAACUUUUAAAAAGUAUGGACGGCUAAAAAAAAUAUAAUUUAAGAGAAUUAUAGAACAUUCGGUAACCGACUUUUAAACAUAUGGUCAUAGAUUUUCUGUUUCGAGAAUAUACAAUAAGUUCAUAUACGAUUAUAUAUAUAUAUAUAUAUAUAUAUUUAAAAUGUAAAUUAUUGUAAAAAAAAUAUUAAAUUUAGUUUAUUAUCAAACACGUAAUCCGGUUUAGAAAGUGAAACAUCAUCAAUCAAUGACAAAGGAAGCAAUGCUUUUCGUGAGCGGAAUCAUCUUAGGCGAAGGAUGAUGGAACCUUUUAGUUUAAAGUAAAAGACGCGUUGCACUAGAUAGAUGAAAACUUUAUUCAAAGUAAAAUUCUCUCAUUUUUAUUUUGAAAUUUUUCCAUACAAAAAGUUUCUUUAAUUUAUUCUCACGAUAACUUUAAUAUUUUUGAAAAGUCAUAUUUUUAUUGUCACAUAAAAUAAAAUAUAUAAAAGAAUAAACUUUUAUAUUGAGAAGAUUUAGCAGCACAAAAGUGUUGGUUAAAAUUCAAUAAUAGAAAAUACCAAUUUUUAGAACUAUAUAAUAUUUUAUUUUUUUACAAUAAAGUGUUAGGUAAAAUGGUCAAGAGAAGUAGUUAGGUAUCCUUCAUAAUUAGUGUUAGUUAAUAUGACAUACGUAUCUCUAAUCAUUAGUGUUAGUUAAAAAUGACUAAGAGAAGUAGUUACGUAUCCCUCAUCGUUUUUAUGAAUAAAAUCUCAUAUUGGAGAUGGAUGAAUUUUUUGAACUCUUUAUAUGAAUGAAACAAUUUUUAGUUUUCGAACUAACUUCUUUUGAUAUGGAGUCAAGUUCAAUGUCUAUUUAACAAUUAUUUCAUGUUCAUUAACAACAAAAUAUAUAAAAAGUAUAAUUUAUCAAAUAAUAUAUAACUAAUAAAAGGAAAUCGAUUUUUAAUUCUUAAAUAUUAUACGUUCUUCUUUAAUAUUAUAAAUAUUAUUAGAAAUAAUUACUACUAAUUUACUCUUGAAUUCUAAAAUAACAAUUAUUUUGAUAAUUCUUUUUGAAUUAAAGUAAUUGUUAAUAUAAGCGAAAAGAGGAUAAUUUAAUGAAUUAUAAAUUAGUUAAUUAACUAAUUAAACAUGGCUACUAAAAAAUAGUGGUAGGAAGAGAAUUUGGUAAUCGACCUCACAAUAUAUGAAGGCAUAUUUUAUAUUCAUUUCUAGGAAAGUUCCACUUUUUGAGGAAAAGUUUCUCCAUAUGAACAUAAAAUUAACUUAGCUUUUCUUGGUAUUUAUAUCCUCUAAUUCUGUGUGUAUAUAUAGUAUUUAAAUUUGUAUAAAAUUAAAUGAAUAGACGUGUUCUCCUACAUGACGUUCUACAUAAUAAUUUUAUGUCCUACAUGAUGUCUUGUGUGUAUUAUGCUACGUAGAAUAUAUGUAUCUACUUGUUCAAUUUUAUACAAGUUUAAGUGUUUGCUUGUGCACAUUCAAAGUCGGAAGACGUACAUGCAUGCUAACCAAAACCAAGUUAAAAGAUAUAUUUAUAUAUUAUACAUUAUUAUUAUUAUCUUAAACACACUUUAGAUAUAUUUUUCUAUUUAUUUUUAUUUAUCAUUAUAUCACAGAAAAAUAUAUUUAACUAUUCAUAAAAUAACUAAAGCACAUAAAUUAAACCGCAGGAAAUACUAUUUAUGUUCUCAUCCAGUUAUCUCAAGUUGCUUUUAUUUUCUUGUUCUAUUCCUUACUUUAAAAUAAGAAAACCUCCUUGACAAGUAAAGAUUAUUCUUAAAAUAUUCACAUGUAUUCUCUCAUCUCCAUAUAAAAUUAGAAAUUUAAGGUGAAGUUUGGCUAUGAAAAUAUGAGUAUUUAAAAAAUAUAUUUUUAAUUUUCAAACUAAAAAUAAUUUUGUGAUGCAUUUCAAAAUCUAAAUCAAAAUUCGGAUCGUUUUUAAUUUUAUAAUUAAAUAUAAUUUUUGAAAUUCAAAUCGAAAAAAAAUAUUUUUUUUAUGAUUAAACGCCACCCAAAAAUAUGAAGUGCGUACACUAAAGCUCAACCACACAGAACCCAAAAUUGACCACAAACAAAAUAAUACUAAAAGCAAAAAAUACAUAUUUAUGUUCAUUAAAGAGACACGUCUUGCACUUAAAAAUAAAAUAAAAUUCUCUGCAGAUAACAACUUAUCUAAAGUAAUUAAAAAGGAAUAAAGAUACACACAUAUAUGUCAUAAAAUUAUCAAUUGCACAUCUAAAUUAAUACAUAAUUUUUUAAUUUUUUUUUCCUACAUUAUUUAUCCCCAUAUUAACUAUUUACUCGGUUUCAAUUUAUAUAACAUAAUAAAAAAUCUAAAAUUCAAACUUCUAAACUUUAAACUGGUAAAUUCAAAUAUAAAAGCUUUUAAUUUUUUUUUUUAAAAUAAAAUUUAUUCACCUAAAAAAAUAUAAAAAAAUAUUAGAAAUCACAAUAAUUUUAGUUAAAAAAACUUGGUUGACUCGUGAAAUUUAGACAAUGAAAGUAUUUGGUAAAUAAACAAGUUAAAACACCGGAAUUUCCCCAUUCAAAGAAGCUUCUUUUAAUAAUAGUAAUAAUUAAUUUAUUCUCACGACAACUCAAAAAUAAAAUAAAUUAAAAAAGUCAAAUUAAUAAUCUCCUACACGUUUUGUCAAAACGCGCAAGCCAUACACGUAUAAACCACACCUCUAAUUUGUUUAUAAAUAGAAUCAAAUUCCCCCAUCUUUUUCUCUCCAAAACAACAUAGAAUUUGAUUUUAUUCAAUUCAACCUAUAAAUAAAUCACAAUCCUUUUGUUUCUUCAAAUCUUCAUCUCAAUUCCAAUCCAAAAUUCGAUUAUUUUAUUUGUGAAGUCGUGAUUUCAUCUAAGUAUAUGGCUGGAAAGAACAACUAUACGGCGUACAACUCAAACGAGACAUCAUGGGCAGAUCAAUGGGAUCCAGAGCCAGCAAGUUAUAAUAACUACACAAGUUUUGACAAGAAAACUGGAAAUAAUAGUUCUAAGAUUUCCAGUAAAGUUGGAGAUACUUUGGGGAAAACUAAAUCUGUAGCUUCAACUGGGGUUAAAAAAGUAAAAUCAAGUGCUACUGCUGGUUUCCAAUGGAUUAAAGACAAGUGUAAUAAGCCUAAGUAAAAUUUGUUUUUUUUUUUUGUAUAUUGGAGGUGUUUUUGAUGUAUUAAUAAUACUUUUGUUUGUUCUUUCAUUCAUUUUUAGUUAAUUUAAUGAAUAAAUAAGUACUUUUUAGUUAAUUUUUUGAUGAUUAGCUAGCAAAUUAUAAAUGCUUUAAUAGAUCGGUGGAUUCAGCUCCUACUGAGGUGAAUUUACGAUUUAAAGUUGAUUGAUAUCUUUAUUCAUCUAUUUUAGUGCCCCAUCUUAUUGAAUUUGAAAGGAUUCAUGUGAACUAUGGCUAGAAGCUGGGUGGAUCUACGAUUUAGAUUCUAACGGUGUAAUUUUUAACUCUUUAAUUUGUAUUGAAUUUAUCAUGUAUUUAAAGUUAUGAGUUUGUCUACUAUUUAUCACAAUUUUUAUUAAUUUUUUUAAAAAUAAAUAUAUUUCACGUUAAAAGUUAGGAGAUUAAUUAUAGGGCAAACUACAUAAAUUCCUCUAGUUUGGAUUCUAAUUACUAGAAUUCACGAUAGUUUCAAAAAUUACUUCUUAAAUCAUAUUUCUUCCUUUGGAUACAUGUAUCAUUACUCACCAGAUACAUGUAUCCCACGGUUCUAAAAGUUGAGAUACAUGUUUAAUUAAUUCAUGGACAAUUAAUUCUAGAAAUAUUAAUCAAAUCCUUUUUUAUAAGGCGGAAAUCAAGGAGUGUAUCUAUGUUUAAUUAAUUUUAUUUUAUUACUCUUUGAAAUAAUAAAUUCAUUAAUAUUAUUAAUAAAAGAUAAAAACAUGUAUAUCUUGGUUAUAAAAUUUGAUUAAUUUCAACUUAUUACUCUUAAAAUAAUAAAUUCAUUAAUUUGAUGUAUCUAUUAUCAAUAUAUGAUGUAUUCAAUAAAAAUAAACAAAUUCAGUAAUUUGAUGUAUCUAUUAUCAACAUAUGAUGUAUCCAAUAAAAAUAAACACUUAGAUACAUGAUUGUACGGUAUCUAGUAUUAAUUUCAUGUAUCUAUUUACAUACUCUAAUAUUAAAUUCACGUAUCUAUUUAUAUGUAUCUAGUAUUAAUUUGGUGUAUCAAGUAUCAAUUUAAUACGUUAUAUCAAAAAAACAUGUAUCUCGAAUACAUACUGGUAAGCAUAUACAUCUAAUUAUGUGUAUCUAAAUAUGGAAUGUGACUAAAACACAUGAAUUUACAUAAAAAUCACGAUUAUAGAGUAUCUAUCAUGUCAUUAAUCCAAAAAAAAAUAUUCAAAAUUAAUACCCAAGAAAGAUUAGAUACAUGCAUACUUAAUAAGAUACACUGAUAAAAACUAGAUACAUAUAAUUGUAUCUCAAUUAUGUGUCAGAUACAUCAAUAAUAUGUCAAAAAGAUGCGUAAAUCUCCACUUAUUGAAACUUACCGAUUACGUUCAUGGCUGGUCAGGGCAUCUCACCGUGGCGGUGUUUGCUUCACUUUUUAAUUUGUUGAUGUUGCUCAUUGCUCGCUGCACUUAGAUCCAACUGACCUCGGCCAGAUCUACCGAAAAUUUAACAUGAGCACUCCUCCAAUUGGGCCUUUCGACCUCUUAAUCACCUCUGUCGUUGAUGCGAUCUUCGGAUAGUAACAAUUUGAAAACGAAAAGUUAUAGAUUAAUUAUAUGAAUAUGCAUUGAUACAUUUAAUUUAAAGAGGGUAAGAAACAAGAAAUUGAUGAAUAACUUGUACAUAACUUCUGGUUGAUUGCGGCAGAAACAAUUUUAGAAGUAAAAAUCUUGACUAAACGUUAAUUAGCAGGGGUGGGGGAGAUAUUGAUAGGGUUGGAGAUUGGUUGUCAUUAAAACAUUAAAUGUGAAAUUUAAAUAUAAAGAUAAUUAACCAAUCCUAAUUUUAAGGGAUGUAGGUUCUUUGAUUGUAUCUUUAAAAUAUAUGACAUAAAAUAUUAAAAGUGGUAAUAUAUGUAAUUAUUUGAAAGUAGAGGUAAAAUUAGUAUAUAUGGUAAUGAUGUAGGUAUAGUUAGGUAAUUUUUCCUUAAUUAUAUCCGUACUUGUAGACAUAGGAACUCAAUAUCUGCGGGAAUCAUUUACACUAAAACUUGUGUUUGGUCCAAUUUAUGAAAUUAAGAGAAUUUUUGUUAUAUUUUUCCAUUUCUACCUUUUUCCUGAAAUAACAAAUAAAGAAAUACUAAUUAAAUUUAGAAUUCUAAUGUAUCAUUAAUAAAAUUAAUUUAAUAAAAUAACUCAAAUUAAAGAUUUGUUAAGGAUAAUAUGUUUUUAAACUUGGGCUCAACUAACAUAUAUUUAUAUAUGUCUUCCAAUUUAGGUAUGCAUAAAUAAACACUUAAACUUGUAUAAAAUUAAACAAAUGGAUACAUGUGUCAUAUGUGACAUAAUACAGUAGGACAAAAAUUGCCAUAUAGGAUGCCACAUAUGAUGCAUGUGUCUAUUUAUUCAAUUAUAUAAGUUUAAGUGCCUACUUAUGCAGACCCAAAGUUAGAGGGCAUAAAUACCCGUUGAUGCCAUGUGAAGACACAUGCAACUAGGUGUGCAUCGGUCGGUUUGGUUUUAUGUAUUAUCGGUUCGGUUUAUCGAUUUUUGUUUUUUAAAUAUGUUAACCAAUAACCAAACCAAUAAGAUAUUUUUUUUAUCGAUUUUCGGUUUAUCGGUUUUGGUCCUUAACGGUUCAGUUUUUGAUUUAACCAAUAAGAAAAUACUUAUAAAAUAAAUAUAUGACUUCUCUAAUAAAUUUAAGCACAACACAAUGUAACUUUACAAAUGCUCAUAAAAUAGAAACAAUAAUAAAAUAACAUGAAAAGAACUAUACAAGUGUAAUACAAAGAGAAAAUAAGAGGAAUAAGGUUCUUACUUUAGAUUUUGACGUUUUGUAUAAUGUGAAGUUGUGAACUCAAAGUCGUUGUGAAGUGUGAAUUGAAGGCUAAAGGAUAAAUACAGUAACUAGUAAGACAAUGAGAUUAAUAUAUAAUAUUUAUGUACAAGUAAAAGUAGUAAAUUACUAGUCUUAAUGAGUUAUCGAUUUACCCAAUAACCCAAUAUUAAAAAUUAAUACCGAACCGAUAACCCAAUAAUUUUUUUUUUUAUAAACCAUUACAAAACUGUUAACCCAAUAACCAAUAAUAAUAAACCAUAACACUUUUUUCCAUUCGAUUUAUCGGUCGAUUCAAUUUUUCACACACACGUAUAUUAAAAUAACAAAAAAUAUUUUUACUAUUUUAAUUAUUAUAAUAUUAAAUAUCUUAAUAUUAUAUAGAAAAAAACCCCUCCUAAUUAAGUGUAAUACAAUUUAGAUUAGACAUCCUAUUUUUCAUCGGAAAAAGAAACCUUGUUCUUUAAGAAAUCAAACUCUUACCCCUAAUUGCCUCAUAACACACCUUUUUUAGGAGUUUUUUUUUAUAUAGUUGGGAAAAUAUGUCCUAAAUAUUGAUAAUUUUGUUCUGUUAACCCUACAAACUAAUCAUCAUGGCCUCCAUUACUUUUUGCAAUUUGCAUAGCUACACCAAUAGUAGUAGUACUGCAUUAUUAUUACCAGAUGAUAUCCUUCACAAAAUCCUCUGUUCUCUUAAUCUCAGAAACAGAGCAAUUGCUUCCCAGGUUUGUAAAACUUGGCAUGACAUUGUAUCAUUGUGUAACAUUAACGAUAACAUUAUCAACGACAACGUAUUACAAGCACAAGUUUCUAACCGCACAUUCUGUGCAUACUGCUGCUCUCGAAUUGUCCAUCGAAUCUGCUAUCACAGCCUCUAUCCUAUAGUUGUCAAGUUUGCUUCCGACAACAUCAAUUUCGAGGAAUUAUAUUUGAUUGCUACUGUUACCUCAUUAGCAUUGUCCCCCGCAAUUUUUCAAUCAAGAGUAUUGUUAACCGUUUUAUGUUUAAAAAACUGCAAAUUUGAGGAUGAAGCAUUUGAUGAUAUUCAAGAGAUGAAUCUAUUGAAAGAGAUUUAUUUUGUUUCCGUUCAAAUCUCUCCAACAAAUUUCGUAAAACUUAUCAACAAUUGUCCUUCUAUUGCUGAUUUAACCUUGAUCAAUUGCUACAACGAACUUGGCGUAUUUCCAAUCUUAUUGCCUGAUUUGAAUCAACUUAAAAAGGUUCAUUUGAGUGGUAAUGGAAUUGGGCCAAUUGAAAUAAAAGCUCAAAAUUUACGAGAGUUUCACUUGUUAAGAUCAUUAGCAGUGAAACUUGAUUUAAGUGCUUGUACUAAGCUACAUGUUCUGAAAAUCGAUUGUGAGUACAUUCCUAUCGGAUUUCCUGAAGAUAUUUCCUCAGCAUUCCCCUGUCUUAAAUCGUUGUUUCUUCGUUCGUGCAAAGGAUUGAAAAUUUUCAAACUUUCGAGUCCUGAAUUGGAGAAUUUGACGUUAAGUAACAUGAUUGAUUUGAAUGAUGCUGUCAUUGUUACUCCCAAUUUACGUUCGUUCAAGAUAGUAGAUAUGAAACAAGUCCCAAACUCGUGUCCAAUCGUUGGUUCGAGUCUCAUGGAAGUCGAGAUUGGAUUUAAGUACGUUACCUCGAUCAGUAGGUUGGUUUGGUACUUGAGAGCUUUGGGAGAAAAUUUGGGUGAUAAUUUGACCUUUUCUCUAACAACUGAUGCAGCAACUGAAUCAAAACUGAUGCAGCAACUGAAUCAAAGGUAUUGACAACUUAUUAAAUUCGGGUUAAGUGUUCAUCUAGCUGUUUAAUUUUGAAAAUUCGCGUGGAAUAUUAUUAAUCAUUGUGUAUGAAGGAGGACAGAUUUCGUUCAGACAAUAUACGGAGCAACAAUCAACCACUUCAAAUCAAGCAAAUUGAUUUGUUAAUACUCUUGUUAAUGUAACCAAGUUAUAAAUUUCUAAUUGAUGAAUUGUUUAGUUACUUCCAUCCGCGAACUUUGCUAGUGAGAGUGAAAUCAUAUGCACUAAAGUAUAACUUUAUACAGGUACUCCGCGAUGUUAUGGCUUUAUUCUUCACCUUCAUAUUUUCUUAUUUUUCACUCUGUUUUUUUUUUACAUUGUACUUAUAAUGUAAUGUAUUUGUAGGUUUUAUUAGAUCAACUGAAAGCCUAGGAAAGGGAAUUGGAAUGCGGUAAGCGUUAUAAAUAUAGUAAUAACAUGUGUUGGCGUUAUUUCUUGAAAGAUUUUAAGAUUAUGGAAUCAACUACAAGACGACGCGCUAAUGAGAUUAGUUUGGAGUUUCAAUGGUAAUUAACUUAUAAUGCACAUCUUAUGUUUCUGUUUAACAAUGCAAUGCAUAUUAAAGUAUGCAAUAUACAACCUUGUUAUAUAUAUAUAUAUAUAUAUAUAACCAACAGUGCAAAUACUUGUCAUGUCAUACUUCAACGAUACAAGAUAAGUACAAGUUUGGCCAAACCUAGAUAGAAGGCUUCAGCAAAUGCGAUGGCGUCAGUGCUGAACAUAACCUGUUGAAAUCCGAACAUUAUUUAGGAAAAUAUUCUCUUUAAAUGGGGCCUCAAAGAGUAGUCAACUACGAAUAAAUGGAAAUCCUAAGCCUGAACUGGAGAACAUAAUGUAUCUGUAAGUACAUGAACAACCUUAUUCAUUGGAGCAAGCUUCAGGAGUUCUUUCACUGAUGAUAUCAUCCCAUGGAAGCUAAGUUUAGGAAUUGCAAACCCAAAAUCAAGAUAUACCUAUAUUAGAAGACAAUCACUGUGUUAGGGAAACACGGGAAAAGAUACUUCAUCACUAACAAUAGAUGUGAAAAAGUCUCAAAUUUGGCAGGUAAUUCCUACUGCACAAGUAAAAUCCAUGUCUUAACAUCAGAGCAACAUGUUAAUAGUUUCAGAUAGAGGAUUAAUGAUCUUACUUGAGGGUAAGCAGAAGCCAGAGAAGAGGAGCCUCUUCAUGCUAUAUUUUUCAGGCUUCUCAGGGCGUUUCCACGACUCUACCACCCUGUCAAUUCUCUUCCUAUAACAUGAAUCCAAUUUCAUUUCAUUUGGGAAAAAGUCAUUUUUUAUUAUUAACAAUGUCUUUGUCAUUUGAUCUAAUAGCAUUUCGUUAGAUAUGAACAAAUUUGAUAAAUACUGAUAAAGCUUUUUUUAUAUCUUCUUUUUAGGAGCCUGUGAUCUUAUUUUCUAGGUUUUGUUAUUAUACUGUCUGAGGAUGAAUUAUAGUUUCAUAAGAAGGAAUAUUAACUUACAGAAAUAUACAUAAAAUGGCCUCCUGAACUUGUCCGAUACUUUCAUUUUUACACUUUAACUAGGACUAGUACCGACUUUUUAUAUGUUGUUGAAAAUUAAAUGUACAUAUUGAACACAAAUUUGAUAAUUAUAAAUCAUGUUUCAUGCGUGAAUAUCAUUUGAACUCGCCGAAGGAGAUGACUAAAUAGUCUAGGGAGGUAAUAGGUCCUCAUGAAAGUUUAGUAUCAUACAGCAAAUUCGAUCAAAGUUGGGGUAUUUUUCAGACUUUUAUCCCGAUCCGUUUCGAUCAAGUUUGUGUAUCUCCCACAAUUUUCCCCAAACUUAUUACCAUGUGCCCUUCAAUUGUUUAUUUAACUUUGAUAGAUUGUACCUCCCUAAAUUCCGUCUCCGUGCCUGAUAUGAAUCAACUUAAAAAGGUUCAUGUAAGUUGUGAGAUCAGUACAUAUGUACAAACAAUAGAAAUUAAAGCUCGAAAUCUGCUCGAGUUUAGCAUGUUUAAUUCACUAGCACCAAUGAAAGUUGAUUUGUGCGCUUGUACUAAACUACAAGCCCUGAAUCUAAAUUGUGCAAACAUUCCUCAAGAGGUUCCGUCCAUAAGAUCCUUAUCUCUUCCUUUAUGUAAAGGAUUGAAUAAAAUCAAAAUUACGAGACCUGUAUUGGAGAGAUUGAGCUUAGUUGAUUUGGACGAUGCUUUCAUUGUUACUCCCAAUUUAGGUUUAUUCAACCUAUUUGAUUCCUUUAAAUUCCAAAACUCGUGUGCAUUGGUGUGUUCAAAGCUAAUGGUAGUUGAGAUAGGAUUGAAGUAUGUUCGUGCAACCACUAGGUUUCUCGAGAUGUUUCCCUUGGGAACUGAAACAACUGAAUCAAAGGUAUGUACAUUCAUAUAGCUAAAUUAUGGUGGUGUUUACUCUGAGUAAUUCGAAACUUAUUAAUGUGCCCAUAGAUAAUACAUCUUGUCUGUCGUUACGUGUUCAUCUAGUUAGUAUUUUUCCAAUGGUUUUAGAGUGAACAAUUUUUCCAUUCAAGUUUGUCAAUUUGUGUUGAAUGUUACUUCUCAUUGUCUAUGAAAGAAGUAAUAUCUCAUUGGGGAAAUCUUCCAAGUAACUUUGAACCACUUCGUAUCAAGAACAGAAAUUUGGAAAUACUCAUGUCGCGGAUACCAAGAUAUGAAUCUCUGAUUGAUGAAUUGUUUAGUUACUUCCAUCCGCAGACUUUGCUAGUAAGAGUGGAUUCAAAUGCACUAAAGUAUAAUAGCUUUAUACAGGUAUACCGCAAUCUUAUGACUUCAUUCUUCACUUCAAUAUUUUCCUAUCUUCAAUUGAUCUCUUUCUCCGGUUUUUCAUUGUACUGAUAAUAUUAUGAAUACGUAGGUCCUAUUAGACAAACUAAAAGACUGGGAAAGGGAAUUGGAAAGCAGCAAAAGAUGUGUACAUAGUAAUAACAUGUGUUGGCAUUGUUUCUUGAAAGGUUUUAAAAUCCUUGAAUCAACUACAACACAACACAUCUUGGAGUUCCAAUGGUAAUUUCCUCAUAUUACUAUUUUGUUUUGUUUUGCUUAACAUUUACAAUAUACCUAGGUUUGAUGAAUUUAUUUCCACCUUAGUAGAUAGUUCCUGUGUUAGUUCUACUCUUUUAUGUAUACUUACGAAACCUCUUCAUGCUUUAUUUUCCAGGCACCACCGUUAGAGAAGAUAAGCCCUCGACAACUUCAGACUUUAUUUGAACCAUGACUGUUUUUUUUUGUCAUUGUGAUUACAUUCUUUUGUGUAAUUUAGCCUGAUGGUAUAUAAAAUUUUUGCAUUGUCAUAGUACAUUGGGUAGACUUUACCUGAUUAAUGUCCUGAAAUAAAAAAAGCCAUUAUAUUUCUUCCUACUAAUGUUUUUCGCUGAAAAAACAUGUCAAACAAUUCUGGGCAAUUCCAUUUGUGCAAACUCCCAACCGAAAACCAUGAGUGCACGUGUUUGGGAGGAUAGUGACUACGCAUUGUUAAUUCGAUAAGUUGUUUUCCUUUUACUCGGUUUAUAAUGUCAUACUUUUUCUAUUCUAACCGCGGGAGAAAGAAUAAGGGCAAUCAUCAAUUAGUUAAAUUUACAUUCAUUCAGGCUAAUAGAUAUUAAAAAAGUUCCAAGCUGAAAUUGGAUUGAUUUGACAACUCUUGCUGAAAAUCUCGAAAAUUUUGACCUUCUCUUUGGAAACAAACAAAGCUUAAUAAAAGGUAUUUACAUGGCUAAAUGAUCAAAGAAAAGGCAUUUUAUGAAAAAGGUGUAUCAUCUGAUCCAAUCCUUGUAUGACAUGUACACAUGUUCAUCAAUGUCAGAUUCAAGUUUUAAUGGAUUCAUACAGUAUUCUCAAAUUAAUUUACAAUGAUAACUGGAAUUUGUGAAAACUCCACAAUUUGUGUAAACUAUUAAAAUGUCCUUAACUUUAAUACAAUCUUGCCAAAUGAGCAAGCAUAGAAAGAAUAUCCUAAGAUGUCAAAUUAAUAAAACACAUACUUCAAUAUUCAUUUUAGGCAUAAUACAUAAAUGUGUCCUUUGGAUUAGAGACGUAUCCAGGAUUUCGGAAGAAUGGGUGCACUAUUACAAAAAAAUUAUAGGUCCAAAUAUAUAAUAUUACUAGUUUUAAGUUUUAAUAUACGCAUUUGAUUUAAUUAUAUAAAAAAUUUACGGUGCUAAAAUUUUAUGAAUUUUCAAUGUAUCACACUUGAAAUUUUUGAAAGAUUAAACCAAAAAAACAAAAGAAAAAAAAUAGUUGAAACACCAAAAGUGUUGCCAAUAACCACUUGGAGAGGUCUUACUUAAAAAAAAAAAACAUAGAUAUAAGAUUUAAAUUUCUAUCCUCAUUUAGAGAGGUGCACCCAAUAAUCAUCAUCAUAUUAUUAAAUGAUAUUUUGAAUGUGGGUUCACACAUUUUUAUUUUAUUUUAUUUUUAAAAAAUAACACUACUAUAUGUGAUCUAGAGAGGGGAGCAUGAGUUCACGUGAACCCACAAAACCCCUCUAGAUACGCCUCUGUUUGGGAUGCAAAUUGUCACGUAGGACACCACGUAAGACGUGUGUCUAGUUGUUCAACUUUAUACAAACUUAAAUGCCUACUUGUGCACAUCCAAAAUUGGAAGCAAAGACGUUAGUUGAGGCCAAGGUAAAUGACAUUUUUUUAAAAUUUAUUAUUCCUAAAUAAAAAAAGUAUUAUUUCUUAAUAUUUUCACAAGAUUAAGGGCUCCUAUACCUAGAAGGCAAGACAUGUGUGUCUAGUUGUUCAACUUUAUACAAAUUUAAAUGCCUACUUGUGCACCUCCAAAGUUGAAAGCAAAGAUGUCAGUUGAGGCCAAGGUAAAUUUAAAAAUUUAUUAUUCCUAAAUAAAAAGAGUAUUAUUUCUUAAUAUUUACACAAAGAUUAAGGGCUCCUAAACCUAAAAGGCAGGAGUAGUCUUUAUUUGAAGUUUUCCUAUUUUACGAAAUUAGUGAAACUAUAAAAAAUUAAUUGGUAACAACUCCUAAAUCAAAUAAGAAUCUGCUGCUCGAUUUUUUUUUUUGUUCCUAUAUAAGGAAUGAUUUAUCCUAAAGUAAACUAUUAAGUUUUUUUGUUAUAUGUAUCUCCAACCCCACAAAAUACUAACAUAGUUUAUCUCAUGUCCUCCAUUGUUUGUGAUGAUAUAUUUUCCGAGUUACCAUAUGAUAUCGGUCAGAAAAUCCUAUCUUGUCUAAAUCUAAAAGAAAGAGCAACAAGUUGCCUUGUUUCGAGAAAUUGGUAUCACAUGAUAACAUCAUUGGACGAUCGCAAAUUUGUACAAACAUCCCCUUCAAUCAAAUACGGUGGAUACUGCAAUUGCAUUCCAUCUUCCAGGCUCAAAUUCUGUAGAACGUGCUCUGCCCUCCGCACUGUCAUCAAAGUUGCUGCAGAUAACACUACUUUAACGGAAAUGUAUUUGUUUGUACCAAUUUCCUCUGCUUUCUUCAAAUUUUCCCCUGCACUUUUUGACUCGAGAUUAUUAACCGUUUUGCAUUUAAAAUUGUGCGAAAUUAAUGGGAAUGAUAUUAAGGAGUUUCCUUGUUUGAAAGAAAUCCAUUUCGAUCAAGUUUGUAUAUCUCCCACAAUUUUCUCCAAACUUAUCAACAUGUGUCCUUCAAUUGUUUAUUUAACUUUGAUAGAUUGUACCUCCCUAAAUUCCGUCUCCGUGCCUGAUAUGAAUCAACUUAAAAAGGUUCAUGUAAGUUGUGAGGUCAGUACAUAUGUACAAACAAUAGAAAUUAAAGCUCGAAAUCUGCUCGAGUUUAGCUUGUUUAAUUCACUAGCACCAAUGAAAGUUGAUUUGUGCGCUUGUACUAAGCUACAAGUCCUGAAUCUAAAUUGUGCAAACAUUCCUCAAGAGGUUCCGUCCAUAAAAUCAUUAUCUCUUCCUCUAUGUAAAGGAUUGAAUAAAAUCAAAAUUAUGAGUCCUCUAUUGGAGACUUUGAGUUUAAUUGAUUUGGAUGAUACUUUGUUUGGUUGUUAAUCCCAAUUUACGUUGGUUCAAGAUAUUCGAUUCCUUUACAUUCCAAAACACGUGUGCCUUGGAUUGUUCAAAGCUAAUGGAAGUUAGGAUCGGAUUGAAGAAUAAUCGUGCAAUCAUAAGUUUUAACGACAUGUUGCCAUUGGAAAUUGACACAACUGAAUCAAAGGUAUGUUGGUGUUUAUUUUGAGUAAUUCAAAACAAUUUCUCUAUUCAAUUUCCUUUCAAGUUUGACAACUUGUAUUGAAUAUUAUUCUCAUUGUCUAUGAAGGAAGUGAUAUCUCAUUUCGGGAAUCUUCAAAGUAAAGUUGAACCACUUCGUAUCAAGCACAUAAAUGUGGAAAUACUCAUGUCGCGGAUACCAAGAUAUGAAUCUUUGAUUGAUGAAUUUUUUAGUUACUUUCAUCCGCAGACUUUGCUAGUAAGAGUGAAUUCAGAUGAACUAAUGUAUAAUAACUUUAUACAGGUAUCCCGAAAUGUUAUGACUUCAUUCUUUCACUUUAAUAUUUAUCUAUCUUCAAUUCUCCAUUUUUCCAACGUUAUGAAUAUGUAGGUCCUAUUAGACGAACUGAAAGACUGGGAAAGGGAAUUGGAAACCGGCAAGCGACGUAAAUAUAAUAAUAACAUGUGCUGGCGUUAUUUCUUGAAAGGUUUUAAGAUCCUCGAAUCAACUACAAGAAAACACAUCUUGGAGUUCCAAUGGUAAUUGCCUCAUAAUACACAUCGAUGUUGCAUUUUGUCUAUUUUUGUUAACGUCUACAAUAUACUUACCUUUGAUGUGUCGGUUCUACUUUUUUAUGUAUACUUACGAAGCUCUUCAUGCUUUAUUUUCCAGGCACUUCCAUUAGAGAAGCCCCUCGACCACAGGCUAUAUUUGGACAGUUUACAGGCAGACUGCUUUUGUUGUCAUAGUGAUUAGUUUCGUAUAGGUUUUCUUUUGGUUUUCACAUGAAAACUGAUGGUUAAAUACAAACAGAUAUUGUCUCUGUUUUCCUCUGUAAGAUUUGAAGCCUUCACUACAAGCUAUAUUUGGACAGUUUACAGGCAGACUGCUUUUGUUGUCAUAGUGAUUAGUUUCGUAUAGGUUUUCUUUUGGUUUUCACAUGAAAACUGAUGGUUAAAUACAAACAGAUAUUGUCUCUGUUUUCCUCUGUAAGAUUUGUUUGAUUCAUCGGCCUGAGCAUUUUUAACCUUGUAUACAGCUGGAAUAUUAGUGAACUAAUUAACUAACCGAGAUUAGCAACUAACUAACUGCUCGAGUUCUAACACAUACUUCCUUUGAUGCAUGACUAUGCCUGUCGAGUUCUUGGCAUACUCAAUGCCAAGGAAAAAACGCAGAUCACCAUGAUCUUUAAUCUUAAAGUUGGUCUGCAAAUACCAAUUUUGUCUCGGCAAUCAAUUGGAAAUCAUUCUGUAAUUAACAGGUCAUCGACAUAGACCAAGACAACCACGAUCUUCUCUGCUGCUUUCUUAAUGAAAAGAGAAUAGUCAUGGUGACUCUGAGUGAAGCCAGCGUUUAUUAAAGCUGAUGUGAACUUGUUUUUCUUUUGACGAGAAGCUUGUUUAAGCCCAUAUAAAGAUUUAAGCAACCUACACACCUUCUGCUUGUCCCCUGUGUCCGUGAAACCCUGGGCUACUGUCAUGUACACUUCGUCACAUAGAUCACCUCGUAAAAAAGCACUGUUGACAUUCAUUUGGUGUAUUUUCCAUCCUUUGGCUGCAGCCAUAGAAAUCACUGUUCGUAAAGUGACCAUUUUCACCACUGGUGAAAGGGUUUCCUAAAAAUCCAAUCCUUCCCUUUGAUUGUAUCCCUUAGCAACUAAUCAUGCCUUAAAUUUGUCAAUGGAUACGCCCUGAUGUUCAUUGUUAGGUUGAUUUGAAGUUGAAGUUUUGUAUGUACAUGAGUAUUAUUUCCUAAUUAUAUUUACACAAAGAUUAAGGACUCUGAAACAAACCCGAAUUCUCAAUACAGAUACUUAAACAUUAUAUAAUAAGAUAGCCAAACUACAACGACAACACUUAAAACUCUUGAAGUACAAUGAAAAGUAACAAGUAACUAAGGAUACAUAUAAGAAUGGAGACGAGAAGUUAGACUGUAGAAAGAAGAUGAGAGGAAUAGACGGUUUCUCACUUCAAGCAUAAUUCUCCAAAAACCCGCAAUGACAACCAUUUAAACUCUACUCAAUCUGGAUCCCAAACAAAACUAGUAUUGGACUGUCUAAUUCUUGGGACUCUUUGUGGUUUAUCCUUAGGUCCAAUAGCUUGGCCAGUCGUGUUCACAACAAUACUUCCCUCUGAAAUGAGUCCUCAAGGUUCAAGUUGAGCCAAAAUAACGAGGAAAAUAUAACACUCUUGUAAAACAAUUUCUCUAGAAAAGUUCAACACAAAAACAUUUGUUUUGUGUAAAUUUUUGGCGAUGUGAUAAAGCAUAGAAGGCAGUGACACCUGCAGCUCAACCGCAACUUCAAGAAGCAUGUUACAAAUUCUAAGAAGUGAUGAAGAACCUGGAACAGCUAGAAUUUCCACAUUGGCUUGAAUUAGAUCAGUGUUCAAACGAACAGAUAGAUAGAAAGAUCCAGCAGUUCUAAAACCAAUCCUAGGAACAACCAUUUGCUUGACCAAGUUAGAUGGCAGAAAAACACCAGUAAAAGAGUAAGGAAGCUUCAUCCCUGAUUUCUCCAUAUAAUAAAGUGCAAUACACUAUUUGUUGUGCGUGCAAAUAAUAGAUGACAAAGGACUCCAUGCCGUUGAGAAAUUUGUCUCACUGAGUACUGCUUCUUUGUAACAACAAUCACACUGACGAUAGACAUGGCAAAUAGUAUGAUAUGUCCAAGGCAGUUUACUAUCAUUCUCGAGGCUGUGCUUUGCAUCUUCGUGUACAUCUGCAUAUGGAGCACUCGCUAGAAGGCCAUCCGCAUUGUAACUUUCUCGACAUUUUACUGAUAGAACAUGAUCCUUCUCGACGAGAAAUCCUUUCGUAAACACUAGCUCGGUUGAAGCAAGGAAAAAGAAGGUUGAGUCAGGACGUUUGGCAGAUCCAACAAGAUAGUAGAAAUAUACAACGCCAAUGUGUUGACGGAAUCCAGAUUUAUGGCUAGAUCGUUGGCCAUCAUUCACGCUAGGAUGUGCCUGCACUAUGUCUUUCACAUUUGAAGAACAACUUAUCAAGUCUUGUGAAAGUAAAAAAUGAAUAAAAUAUCCAAGAUCAUUACAAAAUAUAUUUGGCCGAACGAAUGUUUUCUUGAAGUAUAUCACACAAUCUUCAUGUUUAAAAUCAAAACUUGCAUAUAGGACUAGUAGGUUUACAUCCCCUGCAAUGCAAAGACUCUUGGAUGCAUUAUAGCUAUACCCAACAGAGAACCCAAUAGACAAGGUUUGUCCACCUGUAAUUGUGGAAUAUGAACUCAAAGGUUCUAAUAGUACCAACGUCAUGUCAUGCGUUGUUGGGUGCAAGCAAAACCAUGUACAAUUUGCUCCUUCAAUUGGUGAAUCAUUAGUGUCACUUUUAUCUGCUUGCAGUAAUAUGUCGCUAAUAUCCCCAACAUCAAUUUUAGUUUCUCUAAUUUCUUCAAACAAUGCAUGUGUCUCUACAUUCGUAUUAGAACCUGUUCGAAACAGGAACUCGAAACUAAUUCCGGGAUCCCAUACAUAGAGAUUUGAUGCAAUUCCAUGAACAGGGACAACGGAGGUAGUCGCACCAAGGUUGAAUUGAAAUUGAGUUGAUCAAUGAAAGUAUUAGCAAUAUAAAAAGACGAUGUCUUAAGGAUUUCCUUGAAUUCGUCCAUAACUAUGGUGGAACAUCCCUUACAGAAUUUCAUUGAGAAAGCAAUUUCUGUUACACUCACCACUUGUAGAACACCUUCAUCAUGAUUUUCUCCCCCACACUCCACAUCAGGUAUCACUUCAUCCACUGAAAUUUCACUCUCAAGAAACACGAUCAAGAUAAAUUGUAUUAACGUACCUCUCUGACUUUUCUCCUUGGGGAUGUCCAUUGAAAAAUUGGACUGCGAUAUUUUCAAUACUUGUAGCUUCUUCACCAGGCAUUUCAAUUUGAGUGUCUGUUUGCGUUUCAGCAAAUACUGUAGGGCAGUAACUAGUUAAACAUUCGUCCAACACCUUGUGCACAUCCGUUUUGCUUUUGCCUUCAGAUUUCUCAUCAUACUUUUGAAACAAACGUGAAUUUGUUACUCUAUAUUGCUCCACUGCUGCAGAUUGGACAGGCUAUCUUCUGGUGAUUCGGGAUGACAUUUACGAAAGCGAAUCAAUACUUUCUCAGUAAAAUGUUUCCAAUUUGCCAGUUGUUUGUUCUGGAAAAGCCAUUGAUACCACUGCAAAACUAUCCCGUCGAGAUAGCACGAGGCAAUAGAUAACUUAUGGUUUUCUGUAAUCUCAUAAAACUCAAAGUAGCGUUCAUGAGAAAUCCAUAACUUUGGAUUCUCGCCACAAAAUCGUUGAAAUUCCAUUGUGAUAGGUUUACUCCAACUCGCAAUACAGAUACUUACACAUUAUAUAAUAAGACUUAAAACUCUUGAAGUACAAUGAAAAGUAACAAGUAACUAAGGAUACAUACAUGAAUGGAGAUGAGAAGUUAAGACUGUAGAAAGAACCUGAGAGGAAUAGACGGUUUCUUCAAGCAUAAUUCUCCAAAAACCGCAAUGACAACCAUUUAAACUCUACUCAACCUGGAUCCCAAGCAAAACUAGUAUUAGACUGUCUAAUUCUUGGGCCUCUUUGUGGUUUAUCCUCAGGCCCAAUAGCUUGGCCAGCCGUGUUCACAACAGACUCCUAAACUUAAAAGGCAGGAGUCUUUAUUUGAAGUUUUCCUAUUUUCAAUUCUUUUUUUUUUUACUAAAUUAAUAAACCUAUAAAAAAUUAAUUGGUGGUAAUUAUAUAGUUUAGAACUCCUAACCUAAUAAGAGUCUUUAAGUUUUUUUUAAACCUAUUUUAUUAUAUGUAUGUCCAACCCUACAAACCACUAACACAAUUUGUCUCAUGGCCUCCAUUGUUUGUGAUGAUAUAUUGUCAGAGUUACCAAAUGAUAUCGGUCUGAAAAUCCUUUCUUGCCUAAAUCUGAAAGAAAGAGCAACAGCUUGUUUUGUUUCGAGAAAUUGGCAUUACAUGAUAACAUCAUUGGACGAUUGCAAAUUUGUAAGAACACAUCAUGAUUCACACAAAUACUGUGGAUACUGCUAUCGAGAUAAACUCGAAUCCUGUAGAAACUGUCAUACUCUCCGCCCUAUCAUUGUAAAGCUUGCUUCAGACAACACUACUAUAACAGAAUUCUAUUUGUUAGUACCAAUUACCUUGCUUUACUUUCAAUUUUCCCUUGCAGUUUUCGAGUCGAGAUUAUUAACUGUUUUGCAUUUAAAAUAUUGUCGUAUUGAUGAGAAUGAUAUCAAGAAUAUCAUUCCUUGUUUGAAAGAGAUCUAUUUUGAUCACGUUGCUAUUUCUUCGUCAACUUUAUCCAAUUUUAUCAACAAGUGCCCUUCUAUUGUUGAAUUAACUUUGAUGUCUUGUUCCUACCUUUAUUCCGUCUCAGUGCCUCAUCAAAAUCAACUUAAAAAGGUUCAUAUGAAUUGUGGCCGUAGAUAUCUAAAGGAAAUAGAAAUAAAAGCUCGAAAUCUGCUUGAGUUUCACUUGUUUAAUUCAUCAGCAGAACUGGAAGUUGAUUUGUGCGCUUGUACUAAGCUACAAGUCCUGAAUCUAAAUUGUGUAAACAUUCCCCACCGUUUUCGUCAUGAGGUUUCCUCCAUAAAAUCCUUAUGUCUUCCUUUAGGUAAAGGAUUGAAUAAAAUCAAAAUUAUGAGUCCUGAAUUGGAGAGUUUGAGCUUAAUUGACGUGCUUGAUUUGGACGAUGUUUUCAUUGUUAAUCCCAUUUUACAUUGGUUCAAGAUAUUCGAUUCCUUUAUUUUUCAAAACUCGUGUGCCUUGGUGUGUUCAAACCUAAUGGAAGUUGAGAUGGGAUUGAAUUAUGUUGGUGCAAUCAUUAAGUUUAACGACAUGUUGUCAUUGGGAACGGACACGACUGAAUCAAUGGUAUGUACAUUCAAAUAGCUCAAUUAUGUUGGUGUUUACUUUGAGUAAUUCAAAACAUUUUCUCUACUCAAUUUUCUUUCAAGUUUGAUAAUUUGUGUUGAAUAUUACUUCUCAUUGUCUAUGAAGGAAGUAAUAUCUCAUUCGGGAAAUCUUCGAAGUAACUUUGAACCACUUCGUUUCAAGAACAUAGAUUUGAAAAUACUCAUGCCGUGGAUACCAAGAUAUGAAUCUUUGAUUGAUGAAUUGAUUAGUUACUUCUAUCCGCGGACUUUGCUAGUAGGAGUGAAUUCAGAUGCACCAAAGUAUAAUAACUUUACACAGGUAUCCCACAAUGUUAUCUUCACUUUAAUAUUUUUCUAUCUUCAAUUAUAUUUCUCCAUUUUUCCAACGUUAUGUUUAUGUAGGUCCUAUUAGACGAACUGAAAAACUGGAAAAGGAAAUCGGAAAGCAGCAAGCGAUGUAAGCAUAGUAAUAAAAUGUGUUGGCAUUAUUUCUUGAAAGAUUUUAAGAUCCUCCAAUCAGCUACAAAACAAUACCGUAUGGAAUUCCAAUGGUAAUUGCCUCAUAAUACACAUCGAUGUUGCAUUUUGUUUAUUUUUGUUAACGUCUACAAUAUACUUACCUUUGAUGUGUCGGUUCUACUUUUUUAUGUAUACUUACGAAGCCUCUUCAUGCUUUAUUAUUCAGGCACUUCCAUUAGAGAAGCCCCUCGACCACAGGCUAUAUUUGGACAGUUUACAGGCAGACUGUUUUACAUCAAACGAAAAUGAAAUAUAUUAAUCCGGACAAACCUGCUAAGACUCAAAUCUUAGCAUCAUAGCCAGGUAAUGCAAAGUCAGAGAUUCUUCUUGGCUCCCUUUUCUAGAACUCUUUUUUCAUCCUGAGUUGUUAAAAGUUGUGUUGACAAUAUCCAGGCCAAGGCCACAGUGAAAUUGCCUUCACUAGACGGGGACCAAACCUGUGAUCAUGAUCUUAGUCUGAUUGGAAAGUUGAUUCAGCAAAAUGUUCCAGUUCCAUCUUUCAUUGUUGAGGACCUCUUUAACCAUGACAUUACGGACACUAAUACCAGUAGGCAGAAACUUGCAUAGGGGACCCAAUUGUCGCACCAAAUUGCUCUCUGUUUCAGAGUUAAAGAACAGAGAAUUUUCUGGCGGAUAUCAUUUGGUAACGGAAUUCUAUUUGUUUGUACCAACUUCCUCUGCUUUCUUCCAGUUUUCCCCUGAAGUUUUUGAGUCCAGAUUAUUAACUGUUCUGUAUUUAAUAUAUUGCAAUAUUGAUGAGGAUGAUAGUUAGGAGUUUCAUUGUUUGAAAAAGAUCUAUUUCGAUCACGUUUCUAUUUCUCGCACAACUUUCUCCCACUUUAUAAACAAGUGUCCUUCAAUUGUUGAGUUAACUUUGAUAGAUUGUUUCUACCUUUAUUCCAUCUUAGUGUGUCCCAAUCUGAAUCAACAUAAAAAGGUUCAUGUGAAUUGUUGCAGUAGAAAUAAAAGCUCGAAAUUUGCUUGAGUUUCACUUGUUUGAUUCACCAGCAGGACUGGAAGUUUAUUUGUCCGCUUAAUAUUAAAGGAGAAUUUCCCAAAUCUAUUCGUAUGGACAUUGUAAAUGAAGCUACUGGGAAAAUGAGGACUGAACUAAUUCAAAUUAGAUAUGACUAUGUUCCAAAGUACUGUGAAGAAUGCAGAAUGCAAGGGCACAGCAAGGAGGAGUAUCGAAUUGGCAACCACAACCAUAAGGAUUAAGAAGGUGAGAACAAAAGAGAAAUUGUUGAGAGGAUAGAGAUUAAGAAACAACCACAACCAUGGUUACACAGAUUUCAAAAGCGGAAAGCUAGAAUUCUAUCUAGUGGUAAAGUGGUAGGCGAUCCAGGUGUGUGGAAUGUGGUGAAUGAUAGAAAUCCCAGCAAAAAUAAGGCUGCAUCUUCCUCAACCUUACCUAUGGUGGAAAAUAGGUUUAAAGAGCUAGGAGAAUCAUUUCACAACCAUGCAGUUUAAGCAUCUAGCAGAACCAACAGUAACACAAAUGAGAAGAAUGUUGAAAAUUGAUAAAACAAAAGGUGAAAGAAUGAUCCAGCAGGAAUAAUCAGCUAAAGCUUGGUUCAACCAAGUUUUCGGUAUACGAAAUACUAUUGUACUUUCCUCAAAAGUUCUAGCAGUCCUUGCACCACAACAACAAAAUGAGAUUGCAAAGAUUAAAAAUGAAGAAGAAAGGAAAUUUCCAGAGAGAAUAGGGAAUUACAGUGGUAGAUUUUGAUCAACAAUGAAAGUUUCAGAUGCAGAAGCAAGAUGCUCUUGCAAUGACUUCAAUUUUGAUUACAAUUCCUACACCACAACAAAAUGCAAUAAUUGAUCAGCAGCUUAAUAUGAAUGAGAAUGAGGGGGAAAAUAGUUCACAUGUUAAUGAGACCUUCGCAGAAGAUAAGGAGAUCCAACAAGUUUUAGUAGUAAAUCAAUAGGGAGAGGGUUCAUAUGAUAUAUAAUGUAAUUUCAGUUCUCAACAAAUCAGAAGUAGCAGUGCAAAAGAGUGAAGUUGUUAAUAUUGAAAAGAGUUAGAAAUAUGCAUAAGAACUGCAACUGUCCAAGUUAUCUGUAUUGUAGGGUAGUUAUUUACUGUUUAGCAAUUAAUUAGUUUCUAUGUUAUCCCUUAUCCUUAGGAGUUGGUUUCUUUAUUUCAGUUGUCUUGUAAACUCUAUAAACUAGUCUGGAUUUAUAAUGAAGUAUGUAAUUUUUCUUUCAUUAAUAUUUCUUUACUUGUUUAUCAAACUGGUGUUUCCACUUGUUCAAUAACAAGAGAUACCAAAUUUUUACGUUCUUCCUUCUCCGUAAACUAACAAAUUGGCAAUCAUGAACCCAUUGGUAAAAUACGUACUAAGAUCAACAGAAAAAUAAUGAAAGAAGAUGAAUCUUAAAAUGGAUAAGAUUUGGGAGUGAAAUAAUUGUGUGGAACAAAACUUAUGGUGUCACAAUUCGAGGGUACCCCUAGUCGUAACAUAGUGCGCUUCUUAAGUGACCCCAAGCUAGCCCAUUGCCUGACACGAUAUUAAGAUUCAUAUAGAUAAUAACCGAAGAUAACUAAUGCAGAAGCUAAAUUAAGAUUAAUGAGCAAGAAUGUGAAAUUGGUAUUGUCGCCAUUGCCUAAUAACACCAUCACAUAUAUUUCCAGGUAAUGCAUUGAUGACACUCUUUCAGCAUUGCCUGGAUAGAAAUACUAUAUGAAUCGCAUUUUAGAUGUUAAAAGAACUAUCUGGGACAAAACAUGGGUACAUCCUGACAUUGGAAUUACAAGUACAAGAUCCCUUUGGGUUGGGUUGUUGACUUUGGGUACAGGAUGUACCCAUGUUCGGUCCCAGACAGUCCUUGUAACAUCCGGCAAUUUGAAAUAACUAUGAAGAGGCGUAGAAUUGGAAAUAGUCAUUUUUGGAAAGAAUUUAAAAAUCUGGAAAAUUUGGUUAAGUAUGGGAAAAAGUGAGUUUUUGGCCAACUUUGAACAGCCAUAACUCCUAGCUCAGGAUGAGUUGGGUGUAGUUCCAGUUAUGUUUGCGAAGCCCGUGGAGUGAUCUUUCUAACGCCGCUGAGUUUUCUCGAUUCCGAGUUUAUAUGAGUGAGUAUGCCCUUUCGAAGUUAGGCUGUUGGUAAGGGAAGUCAGUCCGAAAAUUGUAAGGGUAUUUUGGUCUUUUCCCUAACCAUUUCUUUUGGAUAUAUAUUAAGGUUUUAGACUGAUUUUAAAUCAGUUUUCCCUUUUUAGAAAGUGAGAGUUAGGGUUCUUGAGAGAAUAGGAGAGAAGAGGAGAAGAAGCAACUCCGUAAAGAUCGUCGUGGUUUUCGUCGGGGGUGAUCCCUAUUAAGGUAUGUGAGAUCAUAGUGUUGGGUUGGUUCUUUCUCAUUUUAAUUCCGAGAAAAGUUGUUGGUUGUGUUGUUGAAAUUUGUGGUUGUGUGUGUGGAAGUUGUUGGUUGUGUUGUUGAAGUUCCUUGUUGUUUUAGGACAUGUUUCCGGUUGUGAUUUUGAGUUGAAUCUAGUGUAUGUUGAGGGGUUUUAUUAUUCUAAGUGUUUGGGGCNNNNNNNNNNNNNNNNNNNNNNNNNNNNNNNNNNNNNNNNNNNNNNNNNNNNNNNNNNNNNNNNNNNNNNNNNNNNNNNNNNNNNNNNNNNNNNNNNNNNNNNNNNNNNNNNNNNNNNNNNNNNNNNNNNNNNNNNNNNNNNNNNNNNNNNNNNNNNNNNNNNNNNNNNNNNNNNNNNNNNNNNNNNNNNNNNNNNNNNNNNNNNNNNNNNNNNNNNNNNNNNNNNNNNNNNNNNNNNNNNNNNNNNNNNNNNNNNNNNNNNNNNNNNNNNNNNNNNNNNNNNNNNNNNNNNNNNNNNNNNNNNNNNNNNNNNNNNNNNNNNNNNNNNNNNNNNNNNNNNNNNNNNNNNNNNNNNNNNNNNNNNNNNNNNNNNNNNNNNNNNNNNNNNNNN